rnacentral:lncRNA from 1 species
CUAUCAUCCAUGUAUACAUCGAUGCCUCUUUGUACCAAAUUAGAAUAUAGAUGGCUAGUAAAGUUAUUCCGUGUGUCUUUGCCUCUAAAGCUAAGGAAGACAUCAUACAUCCAUUGGGGAGGAGAAUAAGAAGAUGAGGUUGCUUUCUGUAUGCUGGAUGAAGCCAUGGGAAUCCCAGUAGCAGUAAUUUAAUACUGAUUGAUUCCUUCUAGUCUUCUUAACUCUUAGCUAGCCUUCUCCUGAGUUCAAACAUGAAACAAAAAGUUAAGAGCAAGAGAUUUGGCAAACUCAAGCUUGAACAUAAUUCUAAUACACGUAGCAGAGACAAACCGUGUGGGAAGAGUUGAGUAGAGAGAUGACAGAUCUAACCAAAGCCCAAUUCUUUCUUCUUCUGGCCUCUCCACAACUGUGUAUCUUCCAGAUCCCCCUCUCCCUCUCUGAUUUUUCUCCUCUCUUACACCCUCGAUCCUUCACUCUCGGUUUUUUCUCCGGUUUCUUUAGAGCAGAAACUCGUACGGGUAAACGUCCUGGAUUUUUUCUUAUGUGAUUGUAAGGAAGAUUACUUUCAAUGCAGACAAAUGAAAACGCAAGUGGAAUCUAACACGCAUUGGACUCGGUGUCUGUUUGGUAGUGUCGCUUCAGUUGUUUUUUAAAUAGAUUUUUGUGCUGAAAAGCAUGUCAAUGAAAUUUUUUUUAUUUUUUAAAAAUUAUUUUUAACAUCAAUAUAUCAAAACGAUUCAAAAAAUACAAAUCGAACUCAAUUUUAAUAAAAAAAAAUAAAACAAUUUAAAAUUUAACGAAACACAGGUUGAAACGCACACCAAACACACUCUUAGAUAACUUAACUUGUUAUUCUAACCAUCAAGUGAUCCGUCAAGUGGCACCUUCCUAGCAAAAGUCUGGGCAGUGCCUCCCAAGUAAAAAACGAAACAUCAAAGAAUUUUCACAUGUUAUGGAAUUUUCAUGGGAAAUUUCCUAGACACAAAAUAAAUAAAAUAUUAAUGUAUGAUUGAUUGAUUCUUGCCAACAGAUGCCAAGUCUACUUGACAAAAAUUAAACAAUACUUUAUAGUUAAUUGGUCGGAUCCAUGUAUAUUUCUCUAUUAUAAUCUAUAAGCAAAAUAAAAAAAAAAUAUUAAUGUAUGAUUGAUUGAUUCUUGCCAACACAUGCCUAGUCCACUUGAAAAUUUCCAAACGAGAAUUGGAUUUUUUUUCUUAUAGUUAUUUUAGGAUUCUAAUUUUUUACAAACAGGUAGGAGAAAAGUAAUAUUUUUACAUUUAUUACCAUCACUCUAAACUCUAAACAUAAAAAAUAAAAAGAAACAAGCAUUAAAAGAUAUAUAUAUAAAGGAUUAAAAUUAAGAUAUAUAAAAUUUUUUAUAGGUAUGGGCAUUUACAGCACUACUCAUCUUAAUGUAUGUAGCAAAAACCUAAUGUAAUUAAAUUGGUUAAUUUAAUGUACUUUCAUUGAAAUGACCAUAAUAUUUAUACUCCGUUUAUUUUUAUAUUUCAAAAGUGCUUUUGAAAUAUUUUAAUAAAAUUUUAUUUUGUUAUUUUAAAUUAAUAUUUUUUGAUGUUUUUAGAUCAUUAAUGUGUUAACAUCAAAAAUAAACUUUUUUAAAAAAUAUAUUAUUUUAAUAAAUUUUUAAAUAAAAAAAACUAUAAUUACAUUUAUAAACAUCCUCUUAAAGUGAAGUUUCCUACUUGUGGACACAUAAUGCAUGCUGUUAUGGACAGAAGAUUUUCCUUAGGUAGGAUUGGCAUGUAUAUGCCCUAAUUAAUUAUCCUUUAAACUAAAACUAGAUAUGGAUUGAGCGGGCAAUGAAUCUUUAAAUUUUCAUACUGAGAUAUCCAGAGCAAAUGACUAAUAAAUGGAAAACUGAUUGGGGAAAGCUUACAUAAUGGAUAUUUUUAGACAAUAGGUAUAAGCAAGCAACAAAGCAAAAGUUGGACUUUAUAAUAACUAAGGGUGUUCACGGUCCAGUUUUAAUAUAAAAAUUCAACCAAAUCAAAAAAUACCAUUCCUUGUUAAUAUAACCUGAACCGAAUUGGUUUUGUUUGGUUUGGGUCGAUUUUUUAGCCUUAAAAACUAGAAAAACCGAAACCAAUUAAAUAAGAAAAAACUUGGCUGAAUCACAAUCACUUGAUAAACUUGGCCGAAUCACAUUCAAAAAAUUCCUUGCUGAAAACUUUGAAUUCGAGCCCUUUGGUUGAGAUCUGAAAGAUCUUCCUUACUCGAAUCACAAUCACUGGAUUUAUCCAAGUUAGCACAACUAUAUGUUAACAAAGUUUCCAAUAGCGUCCCGCAAACUACUAGGACCUCACUACGAGAACUACAUGUUAAUAAAACCAAAAACAAGGAUUUUAUUCAAGUUUUUUGCCAUAAACUAAAGCAGAGAGUACAAACUUUAGCUAGAAAGAACAGGAUUAGGGUUUGUCUCAUCAAAUCAUCAGUAAAUGAGAAAAGACAACAAUAUGAGAGAAAGACAACAGUAACGAUAAAAAAAGAAUAGGAAAUGGAACAGAGGAGAAAGACAACAAUAUGAGAGAAAAGAGCAUAGAGGAGAGGGAGUGGGAGAGAGGGAGGGGUGGGGCAACUAGAAAGGAGGAAAGGGGAAGGGGGGGAGAGAGAGAGCAGGGAGGGAGGGAUGGGUGGGAAGGGGGAAGGGAGAAAAGGGAAAAAAUUAAUCGAAAAAACGAAUCGAUAGAUAAAACCAUCAACAUCUAGCAUGCUUGAUUUAGAAACUUUAUGUAAAUUAUAUGAUACGGACGGAAACUAUAGAAACAAUAAAAAAAAAAUAAUUUUUAAUGAAAAAAAAGGCUACCGUGAACUCUAAAUUUAUUGAUUUAUUCUUUUAAAAUAAUAAUAUUAAAGUCUGUUGGAGAAAUUUUUUUUAAUAAUACCACAUUACAUCAUUAAGCUUGUCGGAGAAAAAAAAUUACCGAUGGUUUUACAAACGAAAAAUACAGGCCAAAACAAAUUCCCAUUGGAAAUAUAUUGACGAAUAUAUUCUGUCAGUGAUAGUGGCAUAUCUAGUAAAUAUUUCUCAACUCUCGAUAAAAUGCCGACGGACUUCAUCCAUCUGUGAAGGCGUCGAUGAUUGUUGCAUUUUUAGUGAAUAUUUUGUUGCGAUGUCGCGGUUGCACAAAUUAAUUACCCUAGCUUCAAACACAACAUACAAGAUAGUAUAGAGCAAGCAAGGGCUUGAUCCCACAAGGAAGGUUCAAGUCAGAUUUUUAUGCUAGAUGUUAUGCAAUUUGGGGAGGUUUGGACGUUAUCUAGGCUAAAGCAAAAGAAAACAAAAAACUAUCAAAUAAAAUUUAAUAAAAUUAGAAAAUUAUCAAGAGAACAAACCUUGGUCGCAAGCACACAUCCACCUAUAGAAAUCAGAAUUGAUCAUGGAAACGAAACAUCAAUUUAUAUUCUGAAUAUUUAUCUCUUCUUAACAUUGGUUAGUUAACGGAUCCGCCGUAUAACUAACCCUAACCAUCAAACAACCACAGUGUCCGCACUAGUAAUUUAAUUCAAUGGCAGCCUUAAGAACUAGAUAAGUUUAUUAAUCAAGAAAACAUAAUUGUCCGCAGUCUAUGUUUGAUUUGAUUGAAUGUUCUUCCUAAGAUUAAUAACGUAGAUCCGCCACAAUUAUUAAACUCAGUUGCUUUACAAGUUCAUAUACCACAACUCCAGUUUUGAUAUCAAACUUAAUAAUAGAUUGUCUACAAUAAUAACUUAGAGUUCGCUCUAGCAAUUAAAAUAAACAAUCAUAGAAAAAAUAAGCAUAGGAGAACAAACAUAUUCAUCAUAUAAACUGAAAAUAGAAGGUAAAAUAAAUUUCACAGUUCCUGAAAUCCGAUGAUUUCCGUGUUCUUGCAACCAAGAAAAAGUGUUUAGCCUUGCAUGGUUGUUAAACAACUAAUCAAAAAGAAGGAAGAAUGCAUAAUUUUGAGUUUCUUAGAGGAGGGGGGGUGUUUUUCUCCUCUUGGCUGGCUGCCCCCCUUCUCUUCUCUCAUUCCUUUUAUAUCAUAGGAAACCCUAGUCUCUAUUUUACAAAAUAGUCCUCCCUUAAGUAGACUGUUUACAUUUAAGUACUUCAAUAACUAUUUUUCUAAAAAAAGAGAAAUGGCCUUGCAUGAAAUCUUCAAGCUUUGACUUAGAGGAGCUAAAUUGCUGAAAUAAAAACUUGGAUAUCGGUUUAGAUGCUUUGGAACAUAAUUUGGAUUCGUUUCUUCACGAAACCUAUUUGCCAGCAGAAUUCAGUUGUCAUAUUUGAAAAAUCAUAUCUCCUUCAUAUGACAUUUUUUGUGGCUUAAAUUUGGAAUGUUUAUAGGUAUUUGAGUCAGGAAUCCAAAAAAAUUGAGUUUGCAUCAAUUGGACUUCUUUAGCUCCAGAUAUUCAAGUCGGAAUGACCGAAGGUCAACAUUGACAGAUUGCAAGAUUUGAUUUUGAAGGUUGUGAUUUCCAUGCUCUUCCUUAUUUUAUUUUCUUGCCAUAGAUGUCCAAAAAGGUAUGGAUGCUAGCUUUUUAAUUCCAGUAGAAUCACUUCAUUUCAACCUCUAGAGCUAACGCUCUGCAGAAAACAUCUACUAAAGGUUAAAUCUCAUAAUUAUCUCCAAUUUACUCCUUUUUGCAUCUUUCAUCCAAAAGUGCCUUCAAAACAUAAAACAAAGAAUAUCAAGACAUUUUAUAUAUAAAACAUAGGCAAAACACUAGUUAAAUGUGAAUGAAAUUAUCAACUAAUACGGUUGCAUCAUAUUUCUCAACUUUUGAUGAAAUGCCGACGGAGACAUUUCAUCGGUAAAUCCGUCGGUGGGGUUUUUUAAUAUAUAUUUUUUAAAAUAACUAUUUAGAAUAAAUAAUAUAAAAUUAUAUAAAUUAAUAGUAAAAAAAACCAAUUAUGCAAAUAAAAUUUUAUUAAACAUCAAAACUAAAAAAAAAUAAAGUUAAAUAAUAUUCAUUACAAAUUUAAUGUGUUUCCAAAAAACUAUUAAACUAGAACAAUGACGGAGCUGGAGGAGGAAGAGGAGGAGGAGGUUGGUUGUGCCCGGGACCAUACGGCAAAAAAGAGGAAGCACAUGUAUCACUCUUCUAUGAUGUAAUGUUCAUGAUCAUUUGGUGGAGUUGUUCAUAAUUCGUCGAGAGUUGCUCGUAUUUUUUGAUGAGAUGAGUUGUGUGUUAUUUAUAAUUCACCAAUAAUUGCUUGUGUUUUUUGGUGAGAUGAGUCGUGUGCUACUGCAAGGCCACAAACUCCUUAAAUUGGGUGCUCGAUACUAAUUGGGAGCGCUCCUAACGGUUGAAACACUAUGGGUCGCCCACAAGUUAUCGGCCAUACUGUUGGAGAGCCCGUACACCUGAUUUUUAUCGGAUUCACCGACGAUACUACCUCUAUCCACAAAUCCAGAUUGAAAUCUGGAUGGGUCAAAGUAUAGUCUCUAUUAAGGGUGUUCCAAAAAAUCGAAUAACCGAAAAAACCGAGAAAACCGAUGAAAAAUUAACCGAGAAAACCAAAUAGAGAUAAAAAACCGAUUAAACCGAUUACCAAAACCAAAACUCUUUCCGGUUCGGUUCGGUUUCGGUUUCACCACCAAAACCAGUGAACCGAACCGGCUACCCGUAAAACUAAAGCUAGAAGAAACGACCUACUGACCUAGUAUAAAUACUAACUAGUACAAUAAAGUGUAAACCUAAACCUAACAUUACAAUUUACUUCUGCAGCCGCCGCCCACACCAAACCUAAAUUUUUCAUUUUCUCUGUCUCUUACCUUCAUCUCCGCAUAUAUCUCUUCUCUAGCUUUAUCUCUUCUGCAGCCACCGCCCACACCAAACCUAACAUCUUCUCUGCAUCUAUCUCUUCUUGAGCUGAUCAACAAGUAAAUAACCCACAUCUCCGCAUCCAUCAAGGAAAGAUAUUGUUGUGCACCGUGUAAAUAUAAUUUCAAGCUAAUUCAAUUAUAUAUGUUACAUUUCAGUGGUAGGGAAGCAUGGCCGCAAACAAACUCCAACGACAUGGAUGGGCACAGACAAGGAACGUUCCAGUCACAACAAAGAUCUGGACAACUAAUGGAGGUAUCAUCCCAAAGUCUAGAAUUCCUUAAAGAUUUUUCAAAAAUUUCAGAAAUCCAACAUAUAGGGAUAAGAGUUUAAUUACAUGGAUUUGCUUGACUGGUUACUUACAAGAGGUGGCAUGCACUUCUCUUAAUUAAUACUGCAGGAAAUCGAUUUGACUAGGCCGAGAAGCUACUUGGGGUCUAGUUUGGAUUGCAAGAACCCCAACUUGGAGUUCACAAUGUGUAGACCAGAUUGGUCGGGGAAAGAACAUUGCUGAUCAUGCAUAAACAAUUGCUAUAUACCAUGGUUGUCUUUAUUUGAAGUGAAUUCCUGCCCACCGUAAGCCAAUUUAAAAAAAAAACCAAAAAAACCCAUGGGAUUAGGUUUCCCGGUUUUUUCCUUAAAAAACCGGAUUGAACCGAACCGGACAGGUUCGGUUUGAAUCGGUUUUUGGUCCGGUUCGGUUCAUUUUUUACAACAAUACUGUAAUUCGGUUCGGUUGGUUUUUUUAGUCUAAACCGAACCGAACCGAACCGUGAACACCCCUAGUCUCUAUAUCUCUACCUCAACUAGCUAUUAUAUAAGCAUAUUUAGGGAACAUGGUUUGCAUGAUAUGGAAAUAGGGAAAAGUGUUGAAAUUAUAUGGACAAUUGUUAAAUACUAGGUGGUGGUUUUGAUUUUUUUUUAUUUUACUGAUAAAAGGAUUUAAACAAAAUUUAUCGUUUUCUUUUAUAUUAUUCACAAUCACUUUUAAUAAUCUAAAAAAUUGAAUGAUCGUUGCAACGCUGUAUACAUGUACGUACAACAUAAACAAAAAGUGUGGAAAGCAUUGAAUAGAGAAGCGCAGAAUGUUACAAGGCCUAAUUCUUUCUUCAUUUGGUCUCUUCAUAACUAUAUAACUUCCAAUCCUCUUUUCCCUCUCUAAUUAUUUUCCACUUUGCCACUCUUACACCUUCCAUCUUUCACUCUCUGUUUUCUUUCCCAUUACUUUUGAGUUUGUUUUUUCUCCGGUUUCUCUGGAUCAAGGACUCGUAGCGGUAAAGUUUCAAGGAUGUUUCAAGUUAGACUGUGAAGAAAGAUGACUUUCAGUGGAGAAAGUUCAAAGAAAAUGAUAUCUUAUGGCAUCCCUCCUCCUCUCAUGGAGCUCAUGCAUCACGAAAUGAAACAUCAGAGAAUUCUGGGAAUUUCAGCUUAUAUUAAUUUGAUGGAUUAAUAAAGUUUUUUAGAUGCUCAUACAAAGAAAUUAAAAACUAUGAAACAUUCUUAACCAUCAGAUCAAUCAACCUCUCGAGAUUGAUUUGUUUUAAAGUGAGAAUAUUGCUAGCAUUGAACAUGUUUUGAUAGAAGUAGACGCAUUUUGUAAGUCUUCUAGAAACUUGAAUUCGUGUUUCUAAUUUAUUUAUUAAAAUUUAUUAUUCUAUUUUUAGUGAAUUUAUACGUUAAUUAAUCAAGAUUAAGAAAAGAACAUAAAUGAUUAAAAUUGGAAACAUAUAGCAUAAUUGUGUUUGAUGAUUAUUUUUAAAAAUUCAAAAAUUAUGAUUAGUUUUCAUGAGAGCAACAUCAAAUUCAAAAUCAAGAUCGCUUCUUUCUUGAAGGACCUUUUUCCAGAAGUUCUGCACAAACGCCAUGUUAGGAAUCGAGUGCCCAUAAAAGCCUUCCAUGCCUAUUGACAACAAAUGCUUGUUGUCAAUGGAUUUAACAUAGGGUGUCAUCUCUUGAACUCAUUAGCAGAUAAUAUUAUAAUUAAACCGAUGGCUACCUGUACUUAUUCAUGGUUGCUAACAUUGUUUCUGACAUUUACAGUCUUUCCUGAGGAGUCAACCUGGCAGCGCGGUUCAUUCAGUAAUUCCCAUUCUAUGAUUGUUGGCUCAUCCCGAUAAGAAACUCUAGUGAUUGUGUUGAUCCCUAUGAACACUCUCUGUGUGAAAAAAAAGGAGAAACUUUACAGCAUUAGCUUGUGGCUGAUAUUACACUAAAUUCAUUUAAAAGCAUACCAUUCAUAUUGGAUAUACAAAACAAUAGUUAGCAUUGUUUAAUUUAUUUGAGCAAUUCCUGGGUAAGUUUUAAUGAAAAAUUGGAUUUUGAAUCCAUGAUUAAAACAUUUCUUAAUUGAUUAGAUAUUGAAUAAACUAUCAGCGUCUAGUAUUACCAAAUUCAUUUUUCUUGUCAUAUAUUGUAUGUAAACAAGUCUUGGGAGAUAUUGCUUCUUAACAAGUGAAAUAACUAUUUUCUCUUUCUCAUAGAAAAUAUUCACUUUUAUAUAUAGAAAUGUUAUAUAAAUAACCAGUUAUUUUGUUUAAACUAAUAGAACAAGUAUAUUUUCAUGUUAUGAAAAGAAUUUAGUGUUUCUAGAAAAUAUGACUUGAUCAUCAGUUAUCAUUUAUCAUCAGUUAUCAUUUAUUACAUCAAUUCGGAUAAAUAUUCUUAUAAUUUAUUUAUUUAUAAACUACUCUCUCCCUCUCUCUCUCCCUUUAAUUGAACAUUUCUGUGAAAAACCCAACUAGUUUUAAACUACAUAAUAAAAUAGGUCUCACUCGUUACUUCAUUAUUCUAAUUGGGAAAAUUGUGAUCGCUAGAAACUCAAUCCUUGUUUGAAGGCAUGAAACUAUCGUUUUAAUUCAUUUUGAUUCUCUUAAAAGAAAAGCGAUUAAAGCAAAAAUAAUUUUUAUCAUGUAGACUCUAAAAUCUCUACAAGUCUGAUUUAUGAUCCAAGUUCUAUUUAUGAUCCAAGUUCUUUAAUACCAAAUAAAUUAAAUUUGUUUGUGUUUGGACUCACAUUAAAUUAAAAAACUUAGUCCAAUUACAUUUCAUGAUUCUUAAUUUAAUAUCCCUCAAGUUAAAGGUAUUUUAAGUAGUUUUCAUAUCAAUUUUUUUAAAAUAUCCUCUAGAUAAAGGACAUUUGAGGUAAAUAUGUAGAGACUUGUAACAAUGCAUAAAUAUGUAGAGACCUGAUGGUGAAACAUUUUACUUGUAAAAGGAGUUGUUAUAAACAGGUACACUAAGAUUAUAGUUGGAAAACUAGAUAGUUGGGACCAAUUAAAGUAAGAAUCCCUAACACUCUUCUACAACACUCGAUAAGUUGUAAGAUUACUAGAAGUUGCAUGCUCUAAGCAAAAAAAAAAAAGAACUAUUCUUGGACUAUAUUGUAAAAUAGAGAAAUUUAGUCCGGUUAUAAGGAGAAGAUAAGUGAAGCCUCUUUCAUAUACAUGGAUGUACAUCAAAUGCAAUGGGAGUUUUAUAUAGUCUUUAAGGGAAUAUGUCGUUCACUUUUGAACAACUUGUUAUAAGUGCCUAUGACUUGGAGAUCCAAAUAGCAAAGUAUAUAAGCUAUUUCCUAAGUGAUCCUCAGAAACAAAGAAAGAAUUUAAGAAAGAUAUAAAGCAUGCAAGAUCAAAAGAAGCUAUAGUUGUCUCUACGACACCUCUAAAGGUUUUUAACCAACAAGCCAAACCAAAAUCAAAGAUUGAAGAAAAACCAAACCUAAGAAAGAAAGAAGUCCAUUUUAAAACAAUUACAAGAAAAAUAAUACUUUUUUUUUAGAUCAAAAUAAGCCAUGGAGCUCAAUAAGCACACUCCUUCCACCUUUAUUUUGUUUUUUAAAUUACUGCUCAAAAUGUUUGUUAGGCCUCCUUUGAAUUUUUUUUUUUAGUUUAAAUGUAAUGGAUGCUUGUUUUUAGAUGUUUAGUUAUGCCAUGAUUUAGUAUACAUAUGCAUGUUUAAUUUUUGUUUCAGGUUUAGUUUGAUGUUUAAGAUUGUUUAUUGGAGUGUUAAAUGUUAGUUUAAGAUACAUUUUUAGCAUGUUUUAAUGAUUAGUUAAUCAAUUUUGAGAUCAUGGAAAGAUAUGUUAAGUAUUAAUGUUGUUGUUGGAUUAGUCUAUUUUGAGUAGGUUGUUAGGUUUGUUUGAAGUUGCAAGCAUAAGGUUUGAGUUUAAUCAAUUUGACGUGAUUUGAUCUAGUUUUUAAUCUACAUUUUCUAGGUUUUUCUUCAUGUUCUUGAAUAAAUUCAAAUAGUUUUCCCUCUAUUGAUCUUCAUUCUUUCUUUUUUAAUUUUGGGCCGUGUUUGUUGGGUUGGGCCAAGAAGCCAACCCACAUGGCAGGGUUGAGUUCAUUUCUAAUAAGAUAAUGUUUUGAUGGUUUAACAUUUUCAAAAUAAAAAAAUGCAAUUUUUAUCCUUAAAUGGUGUUUAUUAAACACAACCUUAAGAUAUUUUUUAAGGCUUUGAUUUUUAGUUAAGAGCAUGUUUGGCAAACAUGCCUUAUUGAUUUUCUAGCAAUGUUUAUUUUCUCUUUUGUGAUUUUGCCAAACAAUCUUAAAUAGUUUUUAAAAAUUCUAGAAAACAUUUAGAGACCAUUUUAAAAUUGUUUGUGGCUCCCUCGUAUAUUUUCCAACUAUUUUAUUUAAUAUUUGGGUUGUAAACUUACAUUGUAAGAUACUAAUCUAGUAUUAAAUAUAUUUGUUUUUAAAAUUUCAGAAAGAUACAAAAAAAAAGAAAAAUCAUUAUUUGAAAAAAAAACAUGUUUUUAUUUGUGUGCAUGUGACCAAGUUCUAAAACUUUUAAUGCAUAUUUUAUAAAAAAAAAUUUAUUGUAUUUUUAUCAUACUUUGAAAAAAAAAAUCAAUUAAUGAGUAUGAUAAUUAGUUUAUGAUUAUACAUUAAGAUUUGACCAAAAUUUUAAAAACACCACAAAAAUAAUUUUUUUUUAUUAAUAUUUGGAAUGUGAAUUUCACAAUGUAAUGCUUAUUCUCAGUAUUAAAUUAAAUGAAUUAGAAAAAAAAAAUUAGGAAUUAAUUAUAGACUUUAAUAUUUGAGGGUAUAAAAUCACACUAUAAAGUAGGGGUGUUCAAAAAAACCGAUUAACCAAAAAAACCGAGAAAACCGAUAAAAAAUUAACCGAGAAAACCGAACCGAGAUAAAAAACCGAUUAAACCGAUUAUUAAAACCAUAAAAUCUCGCCGGUUCGGUUCGGUUCCGUUCCGGUUUGACCACUUAAACCGGUGAACCGAACCGGUAGUAUAAAUACCACGCACAUAGUGACACACAAACACAGUCACUCAUACUCAGUAACCCUAAAUCUAAUUAACAUUCUGAACUGAAGAGUGAAGCCGCCGCCCACACCAAAAACUCAAAGAGCAAAGAGUCUCCCAUCUGCCCAUCUGCCCACAGCCCCACACCAUUAUCGUCUUCUCCCUUUUGUUGUUGUGCAUCUGUCUUGCCCUUCACCAUCAAAUUUCAUCCUUCCUCUUCUCCCUUCCGCAUCUAUCUCUUCCAUCAAUUUGCUUCCUUCCUCUGUCUUCCCUUCUGCAUCUGUCACCCAUGCUAGACAGCAUCACCACUUCAACUGCUCCCUCUCCUUCCUCUGAUCCCUUCACGAGUUCCUUAGAUAAUGGGCUCGCCAAUAAAAGAAAAAGAAAACCUACAGGCACACCAGGUAGGAGCACUCCAAGGGCAAAAAAACAAGAAUAACCCACAUAUCGAAACUCUCUAUCCUUUGUGUAUUCAUCUCAUUUCACUUCUUCUUUUGCAAUCUAAUUCAUGGGUUCUCUUUCUUAUUCUAAUUUGCUUAAUUAAUCCUUUUUCUUGGUAUGUUUUAAUAAAUCCAGAUGCAGAGGUUGUAUCUUUAUCGCCCAGGACCUUACUAGAAUCAGACAGAUAUGUCUGUGAGAUCUGUAACCAAGGUUUCAAAGAGACCAGAACCUGCAAAUGCAUAGGAGAAGGCACAAGGUACCAUGGAAAUUACUGAAAAGGCAUAAAGAAGCACUUUAGAAGGAAGCACAGUAAUCACAAGCAGUGGGUUUGUGAGAAGUGCUCUAAAGUUAAUUCAAAAAAAAAAAACCGUAUUUAAUGAAGGGAUUAGGUUUCCCGGUUUUUUCCAAAAAAAAACCGGAUUCAACCGGACCGGACCGUCUCGGUUUGAACCGGUUUCCGGUCCGGUUCGGUUAAAAUUUAUCUAAAAUAUUAAAAUUCGGUUCGGUUGGUUUUUUAAGUCUAAACCGAACCGAACCGAACCGUGAACACCCCUACUAUAAAGUAUAUCUCCUUGUAUUAAAGAUACAAAAAUAGAAUUAAAUACACAAUUAAAAUCUUGGUCUUAGAAUGGUUAGGUUUUAGCCCUAUAAACUAGAAAUAUCCUUAUCGAGAAUGAUCUUUUUUUAACCUUAGACAUACCAACGAAUAGAAACAUGACUUGGAAAAAAAAAUCAACCAAUAAUACAGCUUACCAUAGGCAGAAUGCAUGAGGGAUGCUGCGUUUUCUCCAUGCACAACUAAUCUACUUACCCAGACUCUUGUAGACCAUUAGAGUACCCAAUGAAUUAAUUCAAAAAUAUUGAGGAUCUAAGUAAAUAAAAUAAUACGCAAAUUUGAAUUUUUACAUAAAACUACCUACUAUUUAGUUUUACGAUAUCAAGCAUAAAUCUCAAUUUAACUAUUGGAUCUGAUUGAAAUCUUACAAUGAAUCUCUUGACAUAUUUCUCUAUCUUGGAAUAAAAGUUCAAGUCAAUUGGAGUUUAGAAAGGCCUUGCGAUAAAGCCAAUAGUAGAACAAAAAUACAGAGAAACAUCAUAUAGAUAUUUGGUAAUGGAAUUGUCAUAAUUUAAUAAAACAAUUUCCCAUGGUACUUUUUUGGUACUAUUUUAGUUGAAAGCUCUUUUAAGGGAAGAGAAGUUUGAUUUUGCUCAAUUUUUUGUUUUAAGAAAUUAAAUGGUGAUCUUCCAAGAUUUGAGUGUUAAGAGGGUUUAAAAAUGUUUCUAUCUAGGAAAACAAAUCAAAGGGGGGUAUUUUAAAGAGAGAGAAUGUGAAGGAACAUAUAAAAGCUAGAGAGAGAGAGCUUGGAUUUUGGUGAGGUUUGCUCAUUCAAUUGAGUUUUCUAAUAAAGGUAAAAGAUUUUUUCUCAAUUAAACCCAUAAGAUACUUUGUUUUAUGGGGAAGAAAAAAAAAUUCACAAUUUUUAAUUCUAGGGUUCAUGAAAAGUUUUUGAGGAAAAGGAUGGUUUGUAGGAUUUUGUUUAAGUUGACAUGAAAAUGAUGAUUGGAAGAAAAUAUUAAGAGAAAAAUUCAAAACACAACAAGGGGAGAUAGGUGUCAUUAGGGCCGACCAUGGAGAAUAUUGUAGGAGAUGAAAAACUUCGCUUAAAUUGUGUGAUAAUGUAUGUCCAUUUAAUGUAUAGAUAUGAGUAAACUAUAUUUGGGAAAGAGUUUUGAUGUGGAUUUUAAGUUGCAUAAGUGCAGGGAAAAUCAUGUACGUGAAAUUUGGUAUGAUUUUGUGAUAUGCACAUUCAUGGAAUUAUAUGGAAGCCUUAGAAAUGGUAAUUGAAGUAGAAUUUUUUACUUAAUGGAUAUUGACAUGUUGUGAUACAUGAUGGAAGUUUGGGGAAAUGGAGAAAUUGAAUGGAAAUUAGAGAAAUUGUGUGUUAAUUUGAUGUGUAUGUGAGAGAUAUAUGAUGUGGAAUAAAUAUUAGAUUUAAUCUUGAAAGUUUAUGAUAUAAGCAUGUUUAGGGAACAUGGUUUGCAUGUUAUGGAAACAGGGAAAAGUGUUGAAAUUAUAUGAAUAAUUGUUAAAUACUAGGUGGUAAUUUUUAUUUUUUUAUUCUAUCAAUAAAAAACAAGAAUUUUUUAUUUUUUUUGUCCCACACCAUUCUCAAUCAUUUUCAAUUUUAAAAAAUAAUCAUAACACCACCAUAUACACAUGACAAUAGAAACAAUUAGUGUGGAAAGCAUAAAGCAUUGAUUAGAGAAGCACAGGAUGUUGGCAAGCCCAUUUAUUUCUUUAUUUGGUCUCUUCAUAACUAUAUAACUCCAUGUUCUCUAUUCCCUCUCUAAUUAUUUUCCACUUUGCCAUUCUUAGACCAUCUCUAAUAAAAAAUACUAUAUUAAAAAGUCAAAUUAAUAAAAUAACUUUUUGAAUGGUAUAAAUAUAGCUUUUUUAUUCAUGUAUAAUUCAAAAGUAAAAAGUUAUUUAGAAAAUCCAAUUAUAUUUUAAUAUAUUUUAUAUUAAACUAAUUUUAAUAUAAUGAUAUAAUUAAUUUUGUUAUUUUUUAUAAAAUACAAUUAUAUCAUUUCAAUGUCCUUUCAUUUACUUUUAGCUUUUCUAUAGAGAAGUAUAGAAAUAGCAUUUCAAAAUAAGAAUAGAUAUUUUAGCUAUUCAUAUAGCUUACUUGUUGGAAUUGUUAAAACUAUAAAUAAAAGGUAAAAAUAUAGUUUUAUUUAUUUUGACUAUUCUUUUAGCCGCUACGAUUGGAACACCUACCAUCUUUCACUCUCUGUUUUCUUUCCCAUUACUUUUGGGUUAUUUAUUUCCCAGUUUCUUUGGAUCAAGGACUUGUAGUGGUAAAGUUUCAAGGAUGUUUCAAGUUAGAUUGUGAAGAAAGACGACUUUCAGUGGAGAAAGUCCAAAGAAAAUGAUAUCAUAUGGCAUCCCUCCUCCUCUCAUGGAGCUUCAUGCAUCAGGAAAUGAAACAUCAGAGAAUUCUCUUAUUUUAUGGGAAUUUCAGCUUAUAUUAUUUUGAUGGAUUAAGAGAAAAUUAAUAAAAAAAUUUGUAUGUUUCUUUUAAUCCUAUGUUUCUUUACCAGAGCAAUAAAGGAAACACCUACAUGUAAUCAUUAUAUCAACCAACACAAACAUACUAAUUUUGAUAUAAAUUAAGCUAAUAUUUCUCAAUCAAUUAAUGCUGUCAUUUUUUUUUUGUUAACAAAUUAAAUUGUUUUUUCAUUCUCAAUGAAAAGAAAGUAUAUAUUGUAAAAAAAUAAUAAUUAAAAAAAUCAUGAUUAGUUUUCCUCAAGAGUAAUAUCAAAUUCAAAAUCCAGAUUGUUUCUUUCCUCAAGGACCUUCUUCAAGAAGUUCAGCACAAACUCCAUGUCAGUCCCGUGAAACCUAUUCCCAACUGGCCAAUCCAUGCCAUUCACACUGAAACAAGAUUUCUUAGGGACUACCAAACAUUGAAUUUAAAACUCUCUUCAUUGUACACAUGGUUUUGUCUGUCCUUUUUUUUUUCUUUUUAAUACAAGCUUAUAAAAUAAUUAAUAAAAUAUCAUUAGAUGAAACACUAUAAAAUUAUGCACAAAAAAUAGUUUUUAAUCUUUCAUAAAUGCCAUGUUUCUAUAUGUAGAUAAAACAAGAUUAAACUUCCAAAAGGCUUAAAUACAGAAGAGUUUUGUGAACAUGGGAUUUUAAAAGGCUUUAUGGUGUGUUUGAGAUUGUUUUAAUGGUAGUGAUUUAUAGUAUUUUUCGCUUAAAAUUAUAUUAAAAUAAAAAUAAUUAUUUAAAAUUUAAAAUAGCAUGUUCCUUACCCCCCUUCAGUGGUUUGGUAAUUAAGUAGAUGGUAAAGAAAAAAGAAAAGGGGGGAAGUAAUGAUUAAUUACCUUUUCGAUGAUUCCGAUCCAGAUGAAAUGGCAACCUCCGUGAGAAUAUCCAUCCACCUUCGUACCUUCUCCAUAUCUACACUGAAAUCUUCUUCAUCCUUGUCGAAGACAAUCGUCUAACUCUCUGCUUGUGCAUUUACCUUUGACUGCUCGAAAUUAUAAGAAACUGUUGAAACUGGAAAAACAAUGUCCGAUUUCAUCUUUUUCAUGAAUCCAACAAUCUUGAAAAGUUCGAUAAACCAACAAGCUGAACAAGCAUAAUCUCUUGCAAAUAUAAUAACUGAUAGCCCCACUCUUUGAUGUCCUUAGGAGACUCGAUUGAAUUACCCUUAGAUACUCUAGUUCUGUGUCACCUCGGAUAAUGCCUCUCUGGACUAGAGCUGUAUACAAAUGGGUGAAAUUAUUACUAAUGUGCUCACCACUAAAGCUAAAGAAGACAUCAUGCAUCCAUUGAUAGUAAGAUGAAGAAUUAGCCAAAGCAUCAAUAUAUGAAGAAGCUGCUUCUUUGCUUGCAACAAUAAGAUGGCUAGUAGGUGAUUCCCUUGAUGGAGUGUACGGAGAAUUUACCAAACGGACACCACAAUUCUUCACCUUUACUCCUCGCUCGUAAGAAUGAAACGACAACUUGAGUUCGCUAUAUGCUUCAUUCUCCCAUUCUUUAAGCUCUUUCAGAUAAUCAAAAGAUAAAUAGAAUAAUCACAAAUGCUUUGAUAGAGCUUGCAUAGAGUUACAACCUAUAUACAUGUGCGAAGGAUAAUUCUCUUUUCCAUCAACUUUGAAAUGACAAAAGGGAGGGCUUUUACCAUGUGCACUGAAUGCAACACAUGCAGCAAACCCCAUCCACCCAUUAUCAUCACCAUCCGGAUAAUUAGAAGGCAUCUGCACCUUAAUUGAAGAUUCCUUACUUUUAUAAGUAAACCAGCCUGGGAUUUCAUUUCCAAGAACAACAAUACCAAAUCUAGGUCUUGGUGAUGAGCCCUGUAUCAUAAAACAAAAAUGUUUCAGAGAGAGAUUGGGUAUGGUGAAGAGAAGACCUGGAGGUAUUUUUCAAGCAUGUUCAGACCCAUGUUGUUUUGGCCAUUCUGCAUCUAUAGUUCCCAACAGUUAAGACAUUUGAACUCUGAUCUUUUUAGAUUGCUUAGCUUUAUUGGAUCUGGAAUUUCUUUUAGUAUUAAACAGCCAUCCAAUUUUACUCUUUGAACUUUCAAGGGAACCUCAGGCAAUGAUUCAAGCAUCACGCAAUCCUUCAAGGCAAGCUUUUCAAGCCUAGAAAGCUGAUUUAUGCUUUCAGGCAAGCUAACAAAGUUAUUUCUGCUCAGAUUUAGAAUCCUCAAUGAUGAUGAUUUUGUAAUGCCCGACGAUUUUGUAAGCAUUUAAAAUUAAUUUCCUACAAUUUGGUAUGUAAAAAUACGAGUUUUAUUUUUUUUUACAUUAUAACAGAAUUUGUACCAAAAUUUUGACAAAGUCUCCCCCAUACCAAAAGGUCUCAAGUUAUCAACGACUCAUCUUGUACAUGUCUCAUGUUCAUCCCAUCAUCAACGCAUAUCCAUAUUGCAUUGUGACCAUAAUUAUUAUUAAUCAUAAUAUUUUGCAAAUCCAGGGAUUCAUUUCGAACAUAUAAUUUACAACACAAACUAAUAGUAAUAAACUUGAUUAACAACAUUAAUAUUACAAGCAUAAAUUCUAAAGGUCUCUAUGAUUAAGAUAAAGGAACAAUAACAUUGUUCCUGUCAUAUAAUUAUCUAAAAAAAAUACAACAACAUCCAUUUCAUCCCAGAUUCACACAGAAGAAAUAAGAAUACUAACCCUAAGCCAUACAAAAGGAUUGGACAUGCUAAUUCCUUAAUUCAUACAAAAGAACUAGACACCUAGGACACUACUCAUAAAUUAAAUAAAAGAAUAAUUAUAUUAAAUAAAUAAAAUACAAUCAGAUAAUGGAGGGUCACCACCACGUGUAAUUACGCAUAUGUGUACUAACUCGAUAGGGCAUAAUCACAGUUGAUCCGCAAAAGAAGAUCCUUUACUACAUCUAACGCCUAUCCUUCCACAACCUACUUAAGGUUUCCUUUUCAAUUAUCAUACAUUAAUUUUUGUUUGAUUUACCUUUUUUCUUAUCCGCCCCAAAUUCUGAGGCAAUCGUUGUCGACACUAAUAACUCCUAUCAGUGUCAUUAGUCACCCUUACCCGGAUAGACUAAUCAAUUCCUUAGCAAUGCCGGCACCAACUUAAUCGAUUGAUGCCAUUGAGCUAUUUCCAACCCAACAUAGUCAAUCAAUUGCUCUCCAUCACUUGGAGAUGUUUCCAGAAAUGCCGAUGCCAAGUUCUCUUGACAUCAUUAACUUCCUCCUUAGGAAGUUACUCAAGUUAUAAUGGGUUUACUGAUACAAACAUUAUUUGUCAGUAUCAUUAACUAUUUGUGAUACGAAUAGUUAAUCAAGUUCAAUAUUCAUUAUAUUUCCAUCAAGGUCAUGCCGAUGUUAACAAUAUUUGUUAACAUCAUUAGCCGCCCCUAUUCGAGGUCGGCUAAUCAAGUCCAUAGACGGUCAUUUUCUUUCUUUUUUUGUUUUUUAUAUAUGCAUAAUAUAGACCCAUAUCCGAACUCCGAAUCUCAGAGUUUACGAUCAAAAUUCAGAUUUCAAAUCCUUGUCCAUUUCACCGUAUCUUUCCUUUCUUUAGUCAUAUUCACCGGGUGGACAUAUUCAUAUAAUAAUAUUAUUUCUCGUGCUUGUAGACAACAUUCACAUAGAAUUAGUAUUUGUAUCCCUGUCCGUAGGCAACAUUCACAUUGUAAUAACAUUUCUUGCUCAUUGGCAAUGUUCACACAAUAAUAAUAUUUCUCCUACUUGUUGGUAACUUUCACGCAAUAAUAUUUGUACUGCCUGUAGGCAAUGUUCACAUAGCAAUAUUUCUCAUGAUACACAUUAGUACAAAAUACACAUAAUGUCUAUCAUAUAACUAGCAUUACAAGAAUUUAAACAAUUUAAAGAAGCAAGGGGGCAACCCUUACCUUGAACUCCUGUUGUACUUGCACGUGAGAAGUCCAGUCCCACUCUAUAUGCUUCUCCUACAUUCCAGUAGAACAUCCUGAAUCAGUACUCAGACCCCUUUAUGAUUCAUUCAUCAUAUCUAUUAUUUCACAUGCCCAAUUAGUUUUGAAAACAUGUUCAUGAAUAAGCUAUUUUUAGUCAUCACUUUAAUUCAUUAAAUCAGCAUCCAUUCUCACUAAUAUUAAAUGUCCAACCAACUCUUUCUUCUACCUUGGCCGAAUAUAGGCCUUAUUUCUACAAUAAAUCCUGUUGUGUUUAUAUUCAAGAUAACAUUAUCAAUUCUCAUCUAUAUUACCACGCAUAUUACAUGUCCAUCAAAAUGAUCAAAAUUAUUAUUAUUAUUAUUUUGCUAGAACUAUUCAUUAAGCAUAACAACAAGAUGAAAGAACUUUCUUCCUUGAUAUGGCUACUUGCUAACAAUUCUUGGUCAAAACUUCCUAAACACUCAUGUUAAAUUUUCUUUUACUCAAUACCAAGCAUUGCUGAGCAUGUCAAAUGCCUUAAACCAUAACCCUUCCCAUGUUGUUUUCUUUUUGCCGAACAUGCUUAAGUGAAUUAUAAUGAAUUUUCUUCAAUUCCUUUCAUUAUCCACUCUAAGCAACAUUACCUCACCUAAACAUUUUCAUAUGUAUAUGAUCAUUAAUAAUUGUCUAUCUAGAGAUGUUCACAUUACGCAUAUAAUUUUAUUUGUGCCUCUUGCACAUUUUCUUCUUUCAAACUAAUACAUAUACCCACAAGUAUAUUCUUAUGGUUUCUUACUCCUUUCAUUGAACAAUGUAUAUUAAGAUGAUAUCAAUACUUCCUUUAAAAUAUUGUCACUAAAUGUUUAUUUCUAUUCUUCAUACAAGGUUAUUCAAAGCAAUCAUUUCUAUUUUUCAAGCAACAUUCACCAAACCAGAAUUUCUACCUUGAAUUUCUUCUCUUGGCCGAAACUUGUGUUCCAUGUCCUCAUUAGUUCAUUCAUUUAAAUCACAUCAUUUUCUUCAUUUACAAUAUAUGUUAUCAUACAUAUAACAUAUACCAAUCUCUCAAACAAGAAAUUAUAAGGGAUUCAACAUUUAUUCAUACAAUUUCAAAGAACAUCAACACUUUUAACUUCUGUUCCAACCCUGUUUUCCUUAAAUAUUUGUUCAAGAUCAUGAAUCAUUGAAAUAUAUCUUCAAUUUUCUCCCACCCCUUCAAGUCCCCUUAUGGCCGGCCCUAAUCUAGGGUUUUCUUCAUAGUUUACAUCAAGUUUUUCUUACUAUACAUUCUUUGAAAUUUGUUCUUUCCUUUAUAAAAUUUCUUGUUCACAAUAUUAGUUUUCAAAAUAUUAAUAUGCACAAAAAUCCUAAGUUUUCAUUUGGGUUGUUCACCCUUUUCAAUAAAGCUCACUCAAGACAACAAUGGAGAUUGAAGGGUUGUUCUUACCAUAUGAAUUAAGCAAGGAUUAAGGAUGGUUUUUUUUUACAACUCUAUACGUGUUCUUCUUGUUCUCUUCCUUGGUUGAUUCUUCUCCUCCUCUUUCUGCCUUUAGCCGUGAAUCUCUCUCUCUCUCUCUCUCUACAUCUCUAUUUUGUGGCCUUUCUCCUCACUUUCACUCUUCAUUCACUCUAGCAUCGUAUGGAUGAAAUGCAAGAGAACACUUUGUGGAAAUUUUGUAAGAGAGGGGGCUGCUAGGGGCUGUCUUGGGCGGCAAUAAUGAGAGAGGUAAAGUCACCCUCUUUUCUCCCAACUACUUAUACUCCCUCAUAAAUGAAAUUAGGUCUUGUUUGGUUUGGUUCAAAUUUUUUUUUUCAAGGCCGGUUAUCACAUUCAUUUUGGGUUGAUAACCGGGUCAAAUCUUCCCUUACAUGCUCUUCUCCAAAACUCACUCAUUUCACUCUUAUUAUUAUUUUACUCUUUCUUAUAUAUAUUAUUCGCACUUAUUGAAUGUUACCAAGUUGUUGUUGGGUGAAACUUUUAAAUGGUUUCAUGUCAGGUUUUAUAAAAGAAAACUUCAUCCUUGAAACUCUUUUCCAUUCUCGCUAAUAUUAUAAAUUUUAAUCCAAAAUUUGUAACAUUCAUUACAACUUCCACCAUACUUUUAAAUUUAUUUAUAGAGCUUAUUCUCUCCCUUACCCGUUAUAGUUAUUAUUAUUUCUACUAUUUAUUUAUUUCUUUUCAUAUUGAGUCUUCAUUACUCAUUGGGGUCUUUCUUUGUUUCUUUUUUUUUCUCUCUUUACGAUCCUAUGUUCAUGCAGGGGUUUACAAUUCCAUUUUAAGGUAGCUUGGGAGAAUCCUAAGACUAUAGCAGUUCACAAGAUUCACAAAUUGAAGCUUCUUGUGAAGUUCAAAUGAUGGAUGGACCUCAGAUAAACUUGCACAACUUUCAAGAAUCAGACUCUCGAGAUUUGGAGUUCCAGAAAAAUCUGGAGUAUUGGUUAGGUACAGUGAGUUGUUGAGAUUGAUAGUUUUCAGAUUAACUAAAAUCUGUAAUCAAGACAUGAGAGAGAGAACAAACAUUAAAUGGUGGUACUAUACAUUAACUAUGAUUUAGUUUUAAAUAAUAAUAUUUGACAAAAUAAGAUAAUUUCUUUUGAAUAUUAUUAUGUGAUGUUUUGUUCUCUCUCCGUGCAAAAAAAUGAAGACAAUAAGAAAAACAAGACAAAAAAAGAAAUGAAAACAAAAUUGUGUUUAGUAAAAUUAUGUUUGAUAAUAAUUUAUAAGACAUAAUAAUUAAAUGGUGGUGGUACUAUGCAUUCAUUAUGUUUUAGUUUUAAACAAUAUUUGACAAAAUAUAAUAAUUUAGUACUUUGAAAAUACACAUUUUGAAGUAGCGUUUAGUUACUCUACUAAUAUAGACAAUAAAAAUAAAGGAAACAAAACAGAAAAUCAGAUAAAAACAAAAUUAUAUUUGAUAAUAUUAUACAUGAAAAAAUAAUUAUUUAUAUAUCAUGUUUGAUUAUGGUACACAAGAUAUAAAAAAAUUUAUUUUACUAUUAAUAUGUAUUAUUAUCAAACUUAAACGUUUAAAAAAAUAGAUGUUUCUUUUUACUUUAAUUUAUAUUGAGAGUUAAAAUUCAUAAUAUUAUAAUAAUUCUAAUUAUAAAACCCGAUCUGAAUCGGUAGGUCGAUCUGAUCCUAAUGGAAUUAAAUUCAUUUGGAUUUAAGAAAAAAAUAAAAGAGAGUUUGACCGGACCGGACCUAACCUAGUAAAAAACUGGAUACAAUAUGGAUCAAAAACCUGUUAAUUUUUUUUUAAUCAAAAUGAGGUUGCUUUGGUUCUAUUUUUUAAAAAACAAAUUAGGUCAACUUGGAUUGACACUCCCAACCCGUGACUUAAGAAUUACCCUGGGUCGACUCUCAAGUCGGGUUUUAAAACUAUGAUAAUAAUUAUUUUUAUCUAUAUAUUGACUUGUGUCAACCCAGAUUAACUCUCUCGACUCAUGACCUGGGAUUUGCUUUGGAUCAACCCUUGAAUCGUGUUUUAAAACUACGAUAAUAACAACUUUUAUCCUUAUGUUGAUUGGGUCAAUGAUCAACUUCACCCGUGAUCCAUGCCUUGUCCCGGAUCGACCACCUAGUUGACUUUUAAGACUUUAAUAAAAAUGUUAAUCUUACGUUGACUCGGGUCAACUUAAGUUAAUCUUCUUCAUUGGUGACUCGGGCUUUAUCCCGGAUCGACCUCUAAGUUGAGUUUUAAAACUAUAAUAAUAAUUAUUGAUCCUUACAUGUUUUAGUUAAGAAUUUUUUUAAAAGAUAGAGUUUUUUACAAGGAUAUUUUAGAAAUAAAGAUAAUAGAAAUUCAUACUUAAAUUAUUUUAGGGAUAAAUUUAUUUGUAUCUCUAUAUCUUUAUUUUUUCAACUAAAUAUAUUUCUAUUUUUAUUGACUCUUAUGUUUUUAUGCUAAAAGAAUAACCAAACAUUAACUUAGAAUUUUAAUCAGGUAAUUCAUAGGAAAGGUGACAAAAUAAAGGUAACAAAGUGCCAUGAUUUGUCAUUUUUAAAUUCUAACUUGACAAAUUUUAUUAUUUUCAAAUGUAACGGGAAACAAAAUUAACCAAGAGAAUCUAAAAUAAUAAAAAAUUAAUUAGUAAAAAAUGAUAGUGAAAAUAAAUUAAAGGGCAACUAAAGAUUUAUAUUAGAGGGUAAAUUGAAAAACAAAUCCAAUAAAAAAAUUAAAAAGGAACAAAGAAAUAGUAACAUGCCAUAAGCUUGAAUUGAAGUGUGAAAUUGAAAAUAAAUAAGGUUUUUAUUAAAGAGCUAAGAAAAAAAAUAGAAAUAAAAAGAAUAUGGACCAAAUUAAAAAUAAUAGUAUAUAAGAAAUUGAAGUUAAAUAACUAAAUUUAAAAGAAAUAAAACUUUUACAAAAAAAUCAAGAAGAAAAAAGAAAUUAAAUGAAAAAGGAUAAAAGUAGAAAUAUAAAAAACAAUGAAGAUCAAUAUGUAAUUUAGGAGGGGGAGAAAAUCCACAUGUGAAAAAGUGUUUAAUCACCAUUAACAUGCAUCACAACACAAGGAAAAAUGACAAGACAACACAUCUAACGACACGAUAGAAAGACAGUUUUGACAACAUGGAGGUGUUACACGCAUUACACGAAGUGCACAAGUGCCUCACAAAUGCUAACAUGCGCAAUGCACAUGCCAACAACUUUUUAAAAUCUAAUAUUAUAUACUUUUGGAUAAAAAAAUAUAAUACCCUCAACAACAAUUAAUAAUAAUAAAAUCAAUUUGAAAAGACAAAAAUAAUCCUUGACUGAAGGCUCUUUUUUACUAUAAGGGUACUUAAGUAAAUUUACUAUACACGCAAGAGUGAUAAACCAAAAUUCCCCUAAACCCAUGUAUAUGUAUAUUUUGCUUCCUAGAGCAUUUUAGUAGUUUUACUAUUUACAAAAAAAUCUAGAGAAACUAUCUUACCCUCACCAUCAAGGCUAAAUGUUAUUUGAUUGAGGGGCAAAAUAGUAAAUUUUAUUGUAUUCCAUGAUUAAAUGAGUUUGGUGCUAUAGUAGAGGUAGUAUUCUCACCACUUCCAUUUCUAGUCUAUUUUGUUAUAUAAAAAAAGGAAAUCUCUAAAAUUUUGUCAUCCAUUAUCAUUUAUACCCCAAUACUAUAACAAGUAUUUAAUAGUUACGAUAUUCAAUUGACAAGCAAGCAACCAUUAAUAUGUAAUCUCCAGUUUCGAUGUUUUUUUGUUUUUUCUCUCCUUGAUGUAACCUGAAUUAAAGUGUAAAAUUAAAAAUCAAUAAAGAUUUUAUAAAAGUCAGACAUAACAGUUGAAAAAUUAGAUAGUAACAGUUCAAAAUUAGACAGUAACAAUUGAAAAUUAAACAAUAACAGUAAACUUUCACGUGAAUACUAUAAAUAAUAAUAGAAAAGAAUUGAGUCAUAUGAACGCUUACACAUUGAGAUAGUAACUCUAAUAAUAUACAUGAUAUAUGUAUGUAUGUUAUUUUAAGGAAAUGAACAUGCAUAGAAAGUAACAUAUGAGUAAUGGAUGAAUAUGAAUUCUCUAUAAUAUCGACUUGAAGGAAUCAUAACAAAAAAACUUCCUUGUGAUUCAGGAGGAGCAACCAGGAUUGAAUCUUCUGUUAGGGGAGGUCGCGAGCGAAUCAGAUGCAUGAUUUUCCUCCUAUUUGCACUUAUAUAAUUCAAAAUUCAUCUAGUGAAUGCAAUUACAAUAAGUGUCGUGUUCAAUAUACAUAAAAUCUGGCGUAAAUACAACAUUAGCUUCGGCUAAUGGCAUUCGUGAUAGGAUUGUCGGGAGAUGAUUUACAAGAUUAGCUUCGGCUAAUGGCAUCCGUGAUAGGAUUGCCGGGAUAUGAAUUACAAGAUACCGAGAGAUGAUUUACAAGAUUAGCUUCGACUAAUGGCAUCCGCGAUAAGAUUACCGGGAGAUGAUUUACAAGAUUAGCUUCGGCUAAUGGCAUCCGUGAUAGGAUUGCCGGGAGAUGAUUUACAAGAUUAGCUUUGCCUUAUGGCAUCCGUGAUAAGAACGCCGGGAAAUAGAUUACAGGAUUAGACCUUGCAAGGUCACCCAGUUCAUGCAAGUAAAUAAGAUUAUUCAAUUAAGAAUAUACAAAUGAGUGUUAAUUGGGUUUAAAAGAUUUACAAGCAAAAUAUAAGUUCUCUGUUAGAAUUCUUAUGGUUCGAUAGAAAGUUAAUACUUCAUUCGUAUUCAUUACAUGAGCAUACAUAUAUUCUUUAUCAGCAUAAUGGUAUAUUUAUUUAUGUAACAGGCCCAUCAAACAUCCAAGAAGAUCAUGAGUUUAGGACUCUACUUUGUGAAGCUUAUGUAAAUAUUUAACUUAAACAAAAGGGAAUUAAUGUGUUUAUAUAGUAUACUUUUAUGUAAACCUUGAUGUAUUUAUAAAAGUUCAGCUUAGCAUUUAGUAUUUUAGUUAUCUUGCAACUAACCCUUUUGAAAUAUUUAGGAACACUUAUUAUGUUGUAAAUACUUUCUUUGCAUGUUAGUAUUCAUUUUCUCUUAAAUUUUAUGAUAUGAUGUUUGGACUAUGUUCAUAGUGAUCUUACUCGUAGGAUAUAUAUAUAUAUAUAUAUUGUGUGGAAUUAUGAGGGUUGAUAUAAGGUCCAAAAUUAUGGGACCUUGUGAUGAUAGGUUGAUUGAGUAAAUUGAUAGGAGUCAAUAACUUGGGAUAUCCUAAAUGUAAAAGAAACUCUGCCGAAUUUUAUUUUUUUAAAUUCACCCUCAAAUAAAAAGGAUAUGUUGUGAUCUUUUAACAUUGAUGGAGUCAUACAGUCGGAUUGUUACAGUUGAUAUCAGAGCCUUGGUAUAGGUUAUGGGAAGAGAUCAAAAGAGGUUGUUGAUGUUCAUUAAUUUAUUGUAGGAUGGUAUGUACUCGUCAAGAGAUUAGAACAGAUCUCUCCUCGGCAUGGAGGGGCAAUAGAAAUAUAGAUUUUUUUGAGGGGCAAGAAGAGAGCCCUUUGGAAGAUACUGCUUCACAUGCACCGGUAGUAUCGACUCAAGCAGGGCAUGAAGAAUCGUCGGGGCCUCAAAUUAGACAGGCACCAAGGCAUACUAGGGAUGUUCGACCGACCAUGUCAGCCCCACGAGAAUGAGUAGAGGAACCCCCUCAGACUACACCUGCAGGGCCAUCUAUUUCCUAUGUUAAUCCAAUGCUCUUGCCCCAGCUAGUCAAAGCAGUAAUGGAAGGUAUGGCUAAUGCUGCCACUCCUAUGCCAGCACCCCCAUAUGUACCCAUCAUACCAACCAUUUCAGAAGUAGCUACAACUACUAACGACAUGGUACAAUUAGUUUGUUUGGUGAAAAGUAUGAGAGAAAUGGGUUGUGAACCCUACUCAAGUGAACAAAAUGCUGAAGUGGCGGGAAGGUAGAUUAGAAAGGUGGAGAAAACCAUGGUUCAAAUUAAGAUACCACAUGAUCUGCGGGUAGAUUGUACUACUCAAUUACUAUCAGAAGGUGCUAUGACUUUGUGGGAGACAAUUUAGUUGAGGAGGGCUAUAAAAACCCUAUUUUGGGAUGAUUUCAAGAUAGAGUUUGGGAAUUAAUAUUACUCCAAAUAUCAUCGAAAGAUGAAAGAACAGGAAUUCAUAGCCUUGAGACAGGAGGGAAUGUCAGUACUUGAGUAUGAGAGACGAUUUCAUGACCUCUCACUAUUCACACCACAUUAUGUCCCAUUAGAACAACACAUGAUAGAAAAGUUAAGGGAUGGCUUCAGACAAGAAUUGAAGUCACCAUAGAUAUAUUGCCUUACCUAUAUGAUAAAUUCAGAAAAGGGUAAAUUAGGAUUGUCUGACACUCCAAUUGUGAGGGAAUUUUCGGAUGUAUUUUCAAAAGAAUUGCCAGGACUACCCUCAGAAUAAGAAGUUGAAGUCACCAUAGAUAUAUUGCCUAGGGUGUCUCCUAUAGCCCAACCAUCAUAUAAAAUGGCCCUAAAAGAAUUGGAUGAGUUGAAAAUUCAAUUGCAGGAGCUUUUAGACAAAGGGUUCAUACGACCAAGCAACUCACCUUAGGGGGCACCUGUAUUAUUUGUGAAGAAGAAAGAUGGAAUGUUGAGGCUUUACAUAGACUACCGUCAGCUGAAUAAAGUGACAGUAAAGAACAGAUAUCCACUUCCGUGGAUAGAUGAUUUGUUUGAUUAGUUGAAGGGUGCCAAAGUAUUCUCAAAGAUUGAUUUAAGAUCAGGAUACUACCAAAUGCGAAUCAAGGGGCAAGAUGUGCCGAAAACUGCCUUCAGAACUCGCUACGGACACUUUGAGUUCUUAGUGCUACCCUUUGGAUUAACUAAUGCUCCAGCACUUUUUAUGGAUUUAAUGAACUGAGUAUUCCAACCAUACCUUGACAAGUUUGUUUUUGUGUUCAUCGAUGACAUCUUGGUUUACUCCAAAUCUUAUGAGGAGCAUGAACAGCACCUGAGACAAAUACUACAGACUCUGAGGAACCGCCAGUUGUAUGCCAAGUUGGAUAAUUGUGACUUUUAGUUAAAAGAAGUUACCUUUUUGGGGCAUGUGGUGUCUUUAAAAGGCAUUUUUGUGGACCCUCAGAAGGUGGAAGCAGUUUUGAGAUGGGAAAGGCUAAUUACGGUAAUUGAAAUUCAUAGUUUUCUCGGAUUAAUAGGGUAUGAUAGAAGAUUUAUCGAAGGAUUUUCAACGAUAGCAACUCCAUUGCCACGACUCACCAGGAAAAACAUAAGAUGGGAGUGGUCAAAGGAGUGCGAUGAGAGCUUUCAAGAAUUGAAGAGAAGACUUACUACUGCCCCCAUACUAAUCCUUCCAUCCAAAACAGAAGGCUUUGUAGUCUAUAGUGAUACUUCAAGAAAAGGACUGGGUUGUGUUCUAAUGCAGCAUGGAAAAGUAGUUGCCUAUGCAUCGAGACAACUGAAGACUCAUGAAGUCAACUACCCAAUUCAUGAUUUAGAAUUGGCAGCAAUAGUUUUUGCUUUACGAGUAUAGAGGCACUACUUAUACAGAUCCCAGGUUCAAUUUUUCACGGAUCAUAAGAGCCUUAAAUAUCUAAUGUCACGGAAGGAGUUGAAUAUGCGACAACGGAGAUGGGUAGAAUUAAUUAAAGAUUACGACUGCAUUAUGGAUUAUCAUCCAGGAAAAGCGAAUGUAGUCGCGGAUGCUCUCAGCCGUAAAGACAAGGCAAUUAGGGGUGGACCAGCGAAUAGGAAUGAGGAAACCAUGAUUGGACUAAAGAGAUUGAGGGCAGUAUUAAAUGUUAGUCUGGAAGGAUCUUUAAUGGCUCAACUAAGGGUGAAGUCAGGAUAUCGAGAGCAAAUAUUGGAGGCACAACAGCUUGAUGAUAAGGUGUUAAAAGUAAGAAUGAAACUGGAAUCGGGGGUGAAACUCUUUUUCGAAUGGGUGAUGAUGGAAUAGUAAUGUUGGGGUGACGUAUGUAUGUGCCUAACAACCAAGCCCUUAAACAAAAGUUACUACAAGAGGCUCACAAGUCUAAGUUCACUAUACAUCCAGGUAGUACUAAGAUGUACCAAGAUCUGAAACAAUACUACUGGUGGCCAAAUAUGAGAAAAGAAGUGGCUGGUUACGUGGCAAAAUGUAGUAUUUGCCUACAAGUAAAAGUAGAACACCGAAAACUGGCAGGGCUGCUACAACCAUUACCAGUCCUUGAGUGGAAGUGGGAGAUGAUCACAAUGGACUUUGUGUCAGGACUACCUAGAGGAAAGAGGGGAAAUGAUGCAAUCUAGGUCAUUGUGGAUCGACUAACUAAGUCUGCCCUUUUCCUACCAGUAAAGAUGACAUAUCCAAUUGACAAGUUGGCUAAGAUUUAUGUGAACAAAGUUGUAAGGCUUCAUGGAGUCCCAACAUCAAUUGUAUCAGACCGAGACCUAAGAUUUACUUCACGUCUCUAGUUGAGCAUACAACAUGCCUUGGGAACAAAUUUGAGUAUCAGCACCGCCUUUCAUCCACAGACUGAUGGCCAAUUUGAGAGAGUUAUUCAGAUCUUAGAAGAUUUACUAAGGGCAUGUGCUUUGGAAUUUGGUGGAAACUAGGAGGAGCACCUGUCACUAGUAGAAUUCACGUAUAAUAACAGUUAUCAAACAAUAAUUGGAAUGGCCCCAUUUGAAGCUCUUUAUGGCAGAAAGUGUAGGACACCCUUGUGCUAGGAAGAAGUUGGGGACAGAAGGUUGUAUGUGGUAGAAUUAGUACAAAUCACUACUGAAAAAGUGAGGAUUAUUAAGGAUUGAAUGAAGGCGGCUUAGGAUAGAUAGAAGAAGUUUGCAUAUUUUUGAAGAAGACCACUUGAAUUUUUUCCUAAAGAUAAAGUAUUUUUGAAGGUAGCUCCAUAGAAGCACAUACUGAUUCGGCAUGAAGGAAAAGUUAGCCUCGAGGUUCAUUGGACCAUUUGAAAUCCGAAAACGUAUCAGACUUGUAGCAUAUGAAAUAAACUUGCCCUAACAGUUGGCCAAGGUUCACAAUGUAUUCCAUGUUUCUUUGCUACAAAAAGCUGAUGUAAACCUUUUGAGAGUGUUACAUCAAGUGCAAGUGGAGGUAAAAAAAGACUUAACACUUGAGGUAAGACUGAUAAAGAUACUCGAUUGGGGCGAGAAAGAACUUCGUAAUAAGAAAGUUCCCAUCAUCAGAGUUUUAUGGUGAAGCUCACAAAUCGAGGAAGAAACAUAGGAGAGAGAAUCAGAAAUGAGACAAAAAUUCCCCAACUUGUUUAUAAAUUCAGGUACACCACUCAAAUUUCAAGGGUAAAAUUUCUAUUAGGAGGGGAGAAUGUAAACCCCAAGAAAAACAAAUAAAUAAAAGUGAAGAAAUUCAUGCAUAUGGUUAAAUAAAAAGCAGGAAUUCAAAAAAUUUUGAAUAUGAAUUUCCGAAUGAAAUAAUUCGAGAUAUUAUAAUGAACCCAGUACUGUUGAGGGUUGGAUUUAAUUGAAGAGAAAAAAAAUAAACAUAUAGGAAAAGGGGGGCAUAAAUGCAAAUAAGGGAAAAUAUAGAGUAUAAAUACUCUCUCCUCACCAAAACAAAAUCUGUAGGAACCAUAAGGAGAGAAGAUAGGGAGUUUUAUACCCAUUUUUGAGAAAUCAAGAGAGAAGUGUUUGGGUUGCAAGACAGAUUCAGACUUCUAUGUUGUUGCUAUAAUUUGGACUUGAAAACGACCUUCUUAGAUCUUGGCUUCCGUAUGAAAGUUGUAGGCCUAUGUCUUACUAAAUCUGUCCUAAAAUUUGAGAUCAUUUAGACAUCUAAAACUCGAGAUAUGACCUAAUUACCAAGCAGUGUUCCAGUUUGGACUACACCAACAUCUCUUUUCUAAGUUUGACCCUUUCUUUGUCCUUUCAAUUUCAAUACUUAAACUCAUCAAUGAAUCCUUUCAUAUAUGUGAUAGGCCUGCGCAUUUAAGAUAAACAUUUACCAUAAAUUAAAGGUAUCUUAUAUUAAUAGGUGUGUUAUUAUAAAACAUGUUUUAGUUAAGGAGUUAUUGAUACUUCAAGUGUAAAAUGAUGAUAUAAAACUUUGAUAAAAUACACUUUUAAGGUCGAUAACUUAUUAUGGAUAUUUAGGAACACUUAUUAUGUUGUAAAUACUUAAUACUUUCUUUGCAUGUUAGCAUUCCUUUUCUCUUAAAUUUUAUGAUAUGAUGUUUGGACUAUGUUCAUAUUGAUCUUACUCGUAGGAUAUAUAUAUAUAUAUAUAUAUAUAUAUAUAUAUAUAUUGUGUGUGUGUGUGUGUGUGUGUGUGUGGAAUUAUGAGGUUUGAUAUAAGGUCUAGAAUUAUAGGACCUUGUGAUAAUGGGUUGAUUAAGUAAAUUGAUAGUAGUCGAUAACUUAAGAUGUCCUAAAUGCAGAAGAAACUCUGCUGAAUUUUUUUUUAUAAAAAAAGUCACCCUCAAAUAAAGAGGAUAUGUUGUGAUCUUUUAACAUUGAUUGAGUCGUACAGUCGGACUGUUACAAAUAUGCUUUCUAUUUUUCCCUAUUGACCAAGAGGAAGGAGAGGUAAGAAGCUAUUACAGAGUAGAGAUGGAGCAUGAAAUCUUAUGGAUGAUGAAUGUUAUGUAUAUAUCAGCUACUACUCACUGUGUUGUCCUUAAUAGUAUGCUUGAUGUAUCUUACUACAACAAGACCCGACAUUAUAAAUGCUACAAGUAUACUUUCAACGUAUAUGCAUUGUGCAAGUGAAAUUCAUUUUCAAGCAACAAAAAGAAUUGUCAGAUACAUUAAGGGAACAAUUGACUAUGGAUUGAAGUUUUGUCAAGUUAAAAACACCAUACUCCAUGGUUAUUCUAACACUGAUUGGGCCAGCUGUGUUGAUGACAUGAGGAGUACUUCAGGUUAUUGUUUUAGCUUUGGUUCUGCCAUUUUUUCAUGGAGUUCAAAGAAGCAAGAAGUCAUAGCUCAAUCCACAGUAGAGGCAGAGUAUGUUGCUGCUACUGCUGCCGUGAAUCAGGCUAUUUAGAUUAGAAAAUUAAUGGUUAAUCUGCAGAUGGAGCAAAAGGAAAGCACACAGAUACUUGUAGACAAUCAAGCUGCAAUUUCAAUUGCAAAAAAAUCCUGUGUUUCAUGGCAAAACAAAACAUUUCAAAUUGAAACUUUAUUUCCUAAGAGAAGUUCAAAGAGAAGGUGAAAUACAGCUGAUCUAUUGCAAAACAGAAAAUCAAAAUGUUGAUAUUCUAACCAAGUCGCUUCCUCAAGCUAAGUAUGAAUUCUUUAGACACAGACUUUGAGUCUACAGCUUCAAAGCCAAAGAUAAGUGUUGAAUUAAUGUCUUAGAAGCUGCUGACGAAGAAGUUGCUGAUGUGGAAGCUGAUAUGAGUUUUAGUUUUAAUAAAACACUUGUUGUUUUGAAUUUGUCAAUUUCUGUUAGGAUUGAUAUAAUCCUUUUGUUUAGUCAUUAUCCUUUCAAUUCUGUUACGUAACAACAAGAGAUAAUGUUGUUGUUACUUGCAUUUAAAGCUUUCCUUUUUAUUGUUUUUCUACAUGCUGAAUGAUCAAUAAAGCAGUGAAGUUCUAAAAAAGAAGUUUGAUAUUUGUUAGCUUUUGCAUUUCAUUCUGUUAAAAUCCUACAAAGAAGAACCUUUUUAAGUCGCAGCCUGUGCUUUAUCAAAUCAAUCCUUCUUGAAGAAUCCCGUGCGGUGGGAAGCUCCAUUGAGAUUUCUGAAAUAAGUUGCUCCUGUAAACAACACAGUCCAUCUUUCUCUGCAAAAACUUCUCUCACAUUUGCUAAGAAGCAGCUGCCUUGGAAUUGCCAACGAAUCCUAUCAUACAUGACUCUUGCAACAGUUGGCUUUCCCAUGCCACCCAUUCCACAUAUCCCUAUAAAGAGAAUAUCAUUUGCUUGCUCGUCUAUAUAUUCAUUCAAUACCUUCAGACGAGAAUCUAUUCCAACUAGAUUUUUGCUAAUUGUUGGCAAAGUGAAGCUUAGUUUGCACUGUAUAUAUUCAGCAAUCUUUUUAAUUGAUUGUGACUCGUCCCUGCGUAAAAGGGGCAAAAACAUUAAGCAUGCAGUGUGCGAAAACAUGAAAUAUUGUUACUUGAAAUAUAUGCGUGGUUGUUAACGAGAAAUUAAUCAAUCAACCUUUGAUAAUACUUCAAGAAGGAGGAGGAAAAGUAAAGAAUAAUUUGAAAAGGAACUAGGAUUCUGUGGAUGCACAUAAUGAUCAAUCCUUAUAAUAGCUAGCUUAUUGCACAUAGAAUAGCAUGCAUGUAAGAACACAAAAGCCCCUAAGUAUGGUUUUGACAGGCAAAAAACCAAUCACUUCUUAAAUUGCCAUGUCAAUUUAUCAACUUAUCUUGCAAUGAUUUGCUUUUAUAAAAGAACUUUUUAGAUUUUAAAUUGUUGAGUUUUUUUUUCGAAAAGAUUAUUCGACAUAACAUUUCUUUUGUGUAUUGUCAUUUGUCAAGAUCGCCAUGAAAACUCAAUCACUUGCCUAUUAUUAGCCACCUAUGCGCUUGGUCUGCCCAGCACUCCGGCAGGCAGCCCAAGCACCACGUGUCCCCAUGUAAUAAUUUUUAAUUUUACCUUUCAAUUCAAAUUUAUGGUUGUUUUUCUAUAUUAAUAAUAAUGUUUUCUAAUUUAGUAAUUAUUUUAUUAAUAAUAUUAAUUAUUAUAAAAAAAUAAUAUUUAUAAAACAAAAGAUAAUAAUAUUAAUUAUUAUAAAAAUAAUAACAUGGAGUUGGUUGUGGUCGCAUCCAGGUUCAACAUGGUUGUGGAUGCAAUCGCAUCCAGGCCCAACCUAGCGUUGAACACGAUCAUGUCCAAACCCAACGUGGGGUUGGGCGUGGUCAUGUCAAAGCUCAAGGUGGGGUUGGGCACCGACGUGUCUAGGCUCAACAUGGCGUUGGAUGCAGUCGCGACUAGACCCAACAUGGUGUUGGGCGUGGUCGCAUCUGGGCCAACAUGGUGUUGGCUAUGGUCGCAUACAGCUCCAACGUGGGGUGGGUGCGGACGCAUCCACAUCCAACAUGGGAUUGGGCAGGGUCGCGUUGAGACCUAACGUGGAGUUAGAAUUAGACGCAUCCGCGCCCAACCAAGUUGUUGGGCUUAAGCAUGUCCGGACUCAAGUUCGGUGGUCUAUUUGUGCGUUGUAGGCAAGACAACCCCAGCACCAUGUGGCGCGUGGGUCUAACCUAGCAUAAAGGCAGGCAACCCAAGCGCCAUGUGUGCGCAAGGGGUGUGCCCGACAAAUCUUUAUUUUAUUAAUAAUAUUACUAAUUAUCAAAAUAAUAAUAUUUUUUUAUAUUAAAACUUUGAAUUAUUAUAAAAAUAAUAAUAUUAUAACACAAAUAAUAAUAUAUUUGAUAUGAAUACUUUGAAUUGUAAGAAAAAUAAUAAUAUUUACAACGCAAAUUAUAAUAUUUUUUAUAUUAAUACAUAGAAUUGUUGAAUAUUUUUAAUAAUAUUACGCCGCGGGCUCACUUUUUAUUUUUAUAAAAAAACCAUAAAAAUUUAUAAUAUAAAUAAUAAUAUGUUUCAAUAUUAAUAAUAAUAUUUUCUUUCAAUUUUAUUAAUCAUACUAAUUAUAGUAAAAAUAAUAAUAUUCCGAAAACAAAUAAUAAUAUUUAGAAUCUUAGGACGUAGGAACCUUGUGGCUUGAUGAAGGACCUAAUAGAAUUGGGUCCUUACACAAGACUCAUUUAUCUUGGAUCCUGACGCCGGACCCAUUCCCUUUGGGUCCUGCGCCAUGACCAAGUGUCACUUGUCCCCAAGUGCGGCGUGAUCAUGGCUCACCCAUUGCAGCCCAAGUGUCACAUGUGUGCUGGGGAAUGCCCAACCCACAAGCAGGCAGCCCAGCGCCACGUGUGAGCUGGGGUGUGCCCAGCGCUGAGGCAGUGUGCACAAGGAGUGUGCCCAACCCCCAAGUAGAGCCCAAGCACCACGUGUCCACACAUAGUUUUUCUUCGAUAGUAAUAACAACUUUUUAAAUUUUAUUAAUGAUGAUAAUGAUGAUGAUGAUGAUGAUAAUUUUAAAUUUUACCUUUCAAAUAAAAUCCAUGGUUGUUUUUCAAUAAUAAGUAUACUUUUUUUUCUAAUUUAGUAAUUAUUUGAUUAAUAAUAUUAAUUACUAUAAAAAUAAUAAUAUUUAUAACACAAAAGAUAAUAUUUUUUAUAUUAAUACUUAGAAUUUUUGAAUAUUUUUAAUAAUACUACACCGCCGGCUCACUUUUUAUUUUUAUAAAUAAAUAUCAUAAAAAAUUAAAAUAUAAAUAAUAAUAUGUUUUCAAUAUUGAUAAUAAUAUUUUCUUUCAAAUUUAUUAAUUAUAAUAAAAAUAAUAAUAUUUCUCACACAGGAAUCAGCCCAAGUGUUAUGAAUGCGCUUAGUCUGCCUAGCACACAGGCAAGCAGCCCAGGAGCCUAAGGCUGGGCAGACUGAGCGCCAGGUCGCUACAACCUGGGGCAUGGCCUGCCUAGCGCCAGGUGUUCAUAGCCCAAGUGGGCGCACCUCCAGCCUAGCACGUGGGUCUUGCAGGCAACAACCUCACCACAUGCCCCCACCAAACAAUGUAGUCCACAAUAAAAGCACUCAUAAUCUACAGUACCCACGCUAUAGUGCAAAACAAUGCAAUCCGUGGUGAAUCCACUCAAAGUGCACAGUAGCCCACGCUACAAUCAAAAAUUGAUCAAUUUUAGUUAUAGUUAAUUGGCAUAUGCCCUUAUUAUCCUUUAAACUAAAACUAGAUGGAUUGAGCCGGCAAUCUUUAAAUCUUUAUGCAAAUGAACUUAGGCACUAUUUGUUUUUGCAUUUUAAAAAUGUUUUUUGAAAAAAUUUAAGGUUCUUCAAUUUUUUUUCUUUGUUUCAAAUUAAUAUUUUUUUAUGUUUUAAUAUCAUUUUGAUACCCUGAUAUCAAAAAUAAAUUUUUUUUUUAAAUAUUAUUUUGAUGCAUUUCCGAGUAAAAAACACUUUGAAAAGCAACCGCAACCACUCUUCCAAACACACACAGAAAAUGAUUAUUGGCGUAGCACAUGAUAAGGGGAAGCUAAAGACAAUAACAAACAAAGACCACAUUUUUUCAUGAGCAAAAGGGGUGGCAGAUAUGAACCCUAUAUUCACUAAUUUAUUCCCUCUAAAAUAAUAAUAUUGAAAUUUGCCCCUUUAAAAGGUUUACAAAGCCUUAAAUAGGCUAGAAACCUUAUCUUAAAUAGGAAAACAAAACAAAAACUUGAAAUUACAAAGGAAAGAAUAAAAUCCAAAAGAAGUAGGAAAUCCAAAAAUAACAAGGGAAAUCACAUAAAUUGUCAAAAUCAGAGCCUUGGGCGAGAUUCUUGAAAUCUAAAGAUCUGACAGUUAGAGUAGCGAUUCCAUAUUAUUUUAAGGAAAGCAGCCUUCGGAUACUUUUAUAAAUAUUUAAGCACGAUCCAACGGUCAGAUAAAAAAUUAUAACCUCUUGAGCCUAAACCUGUCCCACUGGCCCAUAAAAGUAUUUGCUAGACCAUUCAUGUAAUAUGUUUAGAGCAGAUCCCAUAUAGUUAUGGCAGACUCACAUCUGACUACUCGAAAUCACCUAUUAUCAUAAGCCCAACUAUAUCAUUAUCUCCACAAAAACAUGUGUAUAUUGGUAGAUCAGCCUCAAGCUUUAUUAGAAAAAGUGAGGACAGGCAUGCGAUCCAACUUUUUGUUUAACAAAUAUGCUUCAUUCUUUUCAACUAAACAUCCUUCUUUGAAUAAACACCGUAAGUUUUGUGUGUUCUUGGAUGGUAGAAAUAAGAAAUUGCAUGUUCUAGAAAUUGUUUGUAUGGUAAACGAUAGCGUGUCUAAUUGUUGAAGAGGGGAGGCAAUUAUUCUUAUGGUAUUGAAGCAAAGGGUGAUAUGUAUGGAACAUUUGCAAAAAAAAUUAAAAUUGAUAAGUAGUGCUGGAAACACAACCCUAAUCUAGUGUGAAGGGGGGGGAAGAACAAAAGAAUAGCAUUUACAUGAGCAUCGGUAAGAAAAAUGAAAAACUUUGGGUUCCUCAAUACAUUUAGAAUCCAUGAAUCAGCAAGUAAAAUGAGAAUAAGAAAUUCCAUGAAUUUUGCUCAUUUAAACACUAAGCCAUUAAUUAACAGCUUAAUUGAGCCAUUUGAUUUUCUUAAUGAUGAUAUUAUUGAUAAGGUUUCAUUCCUCAAUAAAUUUGGAGAUAAAGCAUGCAAUGGCUCCUUGCCACGCUAUUUUUUAACUGAUUGGUUAACUUCCUCAUGUGCACAAGGCUGAGAGGACUUGUUAUAAGAAGUUUGAUUGCAAAGUUAGAAAUAGAACAACAUCUAAGCAAGAGUGAUCUUAGCAGACAUGAGAAAUUGGCCUUUGGUGAGAAAUGCAAGAAUCAAAAUCCAGUUUCCUUUUUGCACUAGGUGACCUGGCAUGUAUGAGGAUUCAACUCUAUUUCUAUGGCAGUUUCUUCGAAAGAUACAAGUUAUAGGCACUGCGGAAUAAUAUUUGCUGGAUGGGUUUGAUGUUGCUGUUCUUGAUGAGGCAGCACCUGUACCAGCUUUUGAAGGCCUGUCUGAUGCAAGUGGCUGGUGUUGUUAUGUGUUAAAGGUCCCCUCGAUGUUGUCUGAUGCAACUUUGCAGUGAUUACUACAACUACCAGAAAUUCAACUAAAACCAACCACUACGAGAUUUCACAGUUUUCCCGACAGACCAAAUCCAUUGGUGUGAGAUUUAGACUUAAUCAGUAAUUUUUUUAACGACUAAAUCACCAACGAAAAGUGUCUGUCGGGAUAUCUUUCAUCGGUUAUACCACAUUCCGUCGCUAAGCCUAUCAGAGAAAAAAAUUACUAAUGGUUUUACAAACGGAAAAUGCGGGCUAAAAAAACAUUCCUGCUAGAAAUAUAAUGACGGAUAUAUUCCGUUAGUGAUGGUGGCAUUUCCGGAAAAUAUUUUUCAACUCUCGGUAAAAUGCUGACGGACUUUAUAUGUCUAUGAUGGUGUCGGUUGAUUAGUACUUAAAAAUACAUUUUUAUCAAGGUUUUAUAUCAUCAUUUUGCACUUGAAGUAUCAAUAACUCCUUAACUAAAGCAUGUUUUAUAAUAACAUACCUAAUAAUAUAAGAUACCUUUAAUUUAUGGUAAAUGUUCAUCUUAAAUGCAGGUCUAUCACAUAAAUAAAAGGAUUGAUUAAUGAUUUUAACUUUUGAAAUUGAAAGGAUAAAGAGAGGGCCAAACUUAGAAAAGAGAUGUUGGUGUAGUCCAAACUAGAACAUUGUUUAGUAAUUGGGUCAUAUCUCAAGUUCUAGAUUUCCAAAUAACCUCAAUUUUUUGGAUUGAUUACCCAAUUUCAACCCGAUUUUAUCCAUUUUCAAUUUUUUCAACCGAUUCAACCCAUAAUGCAUGUUUUAACUCGUAAAAUCGUACGAUUUUACGAGUCAAAACGCGAUUUUGACAACCUUGGCUAGCAAUGACGUUUUAUUCAAACAAGAAAAUAAUGAUUGCUCUCUCUUUAUAUGUUUUAUAAUUCUUAAGUUUUGCUUUCAUUAAUAUAUUGUCUAUGCUUUUCAUUUCCUUUCCUUCACUAAGUUAACUUGUAUCUUAUUUAUGUUCUUAUUUUGUUUAAUUAUGUUUCUCUUAUUCAUUACGUUUAGCUAAGUUUAUUAUGUCAAGGUGAAAAGGUUACACUAAUGGUGUAAGAAUAAGUAUGACCUUAAUGUUUAAUAUUAACAUGUCUUAUCUUUUUAUCUUACUAAUUCUUAAUACAUUGCUUGUUAAAUGGUUAAUCUAGAUUUGUGUUGUAUAACACUUGGUACAACAAAUGUUUGGCACUCUCAUAGCCUAACCAUAUGGUAUUACCUACACCUGUGCUAUGAAAGGAACUUGAUUUGUUGUUAACAUAUAUUAGCAUCAUGAAUUCCUAAUAAUAUUUAAAAGUUUGGUGUUACUUAAAUAAGAUAAUUAAUAUGAUCAUGUUAACAAUUUAUAAUGAGCUAUUAAUGACAAAUCAUCCGAUUGGAACCUCCUUUAUAUGUGGUUUCUAGUUGAAUAAUAAGAGUUUUUACUAUACUUGUUUGAAAUACCAUUAGUGAUCCUCUAACCUUAAUAUUUGUUUUUAUCAUUGUUUAAUCCUUCCAUUAAUCUUCCACUCAAAGUUCUCAUCAACUUCUUUUUCUUUAUUACUAUUACUAUUACUAUUACUAUUAUUAUUGCUAUUAUUGUUGUUGUUGUUGUUGUUGUAUUAUUGUUGUCUAUAAUUUAUACAAUUAACCUCCCUGUGAUUCGACCCCAGUCUUGUCGGGUUAUUUAUUAUUUCGACACUCCUACACUUGGGAUAAGACAUCAAUCUUUUGGUCGUGUCAUCGGUGAUUGUGGCAUUGUUAGUAAAUAUUUCUCAACUCUCAGUAAAAUACCGAUGAACUUUAUCCAUCUAUGAAGGCAUCGGUGAUUGUGGCAUUUUUAGUAAAUAUUUCUCAACUCUCGAUGAAAUGCCAAUGGAGACAUUCCGGCUGUAAAUCCAUUGGUGGGGUUUUUUAAGAUUUUUUUAAAUUUAUUUAGAAUAAAUAAUAUAAAAUUAUAUAAACUAAUUGUAAAGAAACCAAUUAUGCAAAUAAAAUUUUAUUAAACAAAAAAAAAAGUUAAAUAAUAUUCAUUACAAAUUUAAUGUGUUUCCAAAAAAAUAUUAAACUAGAACAAUGGCGUAGUUGGAGGAGGAGGAGGAGGAGGCUGGUUGUUCCCAGGACCAUACGAUCAAAAAGAGAACGCACAUGUAUCAUCCUUCUAUGAUGUAAUGUUCAUGACCAUUUGGCGGAGUUGGUCACAAUUUGUCAAGAGUUGCUCGUACUUUUCAUUGAGAUGAGCUAUUUGUUGUUCAUAAUUCGCUUUUUAUCGAGUCCAUCGGACGAUCCUACCUCCAUCCACAAAUUCAGAUCGAAAUCCGGAUGAGUCGAAGGAUCGUCCCCAUAUCUCUCCCUCAACUAGCUAUUAAAUAAGCAUGUUCAGGGAACAUGGUUUGCAUGUUAUGGAAAUAGGGGAAAGUGUUGAAAUUAUAUGGACAAUUGUUAAAUACUAGGUGGUGAUUUUUAUUUUUUUAUUCUACUGAUAAAAAGAUAAAUUUCUUUUUAUCUUUUUUUUUGGAGCUUCAUGCAUCAGGAAAUGAAACAUUAGAGAAUUCUCUUAUUUUAUGGGAAUUUCAGCUUAUAUUAAUUUGAUGGGUUAAUAGAAAAUUAAUAAUUUUUUUUUAAAUGCUCAAACAAAAAAAUUAAAAACUAUGAAACAUUCUUAACCAUCAGAUCAACCUCUCGAGAUUGAUUUGUUUUAAAGUGAGAAUAUUGGUAGCAACGAACAUGUUUUGAUAGAAGUAGAUGCAUUUUGUCAAUCUCCCAUAAACUUGAAUCCAUGUUACUAAUUUAUUUAUUAAAAAUUAUUAUUCUAUUUUUAGUGAAUUUACAUGUUAAUUAAUCAAGAUUAAGAAAAGAUCAUAAAUGAUUAAGAUUGGAAACAUAUAGCAUAAUUGUGUGAUGAAAGCUUUGAAAUUCCUAAUUUAAUCAAAUUCAUAUUAUACGUGUAUCAAAUUCUCAUAUAUAUCUUUCUUUUAAUCCCACGUAUAAUCAUUAUAUCAACCAACACAAACAUAAUAAUUUUGAUAGAAAUUAAGGUAAUAUUUCUCAAUCAAUUAACGCUAUCAUUUUUUGUUUCUUAACAAAUUAAUUAGUUUUCCUAAAGAAUAACAUCAAAUUCAAAAUCAAUAUCAAGCUCGCUUCUUUCCUUAAGGACCUUCAGGAAGUUCAGCACAUACUCCAUGUCAGUCCCGUGAAACCUAUUCCCAACUGGCCAAUCCAUGCCAUUCACCCUGAAACAAGAUUUCUUAGUAAAAUUUAAAACUCUAUUCACUAUAUACAUGGGUUUUGUUCUGUGUCUGUAUCUUUUUGCAAUGUGAGCUUAUAAAAUAACUGAUCACCAUAAAAUUAGCACGAGAAAUUAAGUAGUUUUAAUCUUUCAUGAAUGCCAAGUUUCUACAUAUAGAUAAAACAAGACUAAACUUCCACAAAAGGCUUGAAUACGUAAGAGUUUUGUGAACUUGGGAUUUUGAGAGGCUACUUAGUGGUUGGUAAUUAAGUAGAUGGGAAAAAAGGGGGGGGGGGCAGUAAUGAUUAAUUACCUUUUCGAUGAUUCUGAUCCAGAUGAAAUGGCGACCUCGGUGAGAAUAUCCAUCCACCUUCGUACCUUCUCCAUAUCUUCAUUGAAAUCUUCUUCAUCCUUGUCGAAGACAAUCGUGUAACUCUCUGCUUGUGCAUCUACCUUUGAUUGCUCGACAUUAUAAGAAACUGUUGAAACUGGAAAAACAGUGUCCGAUUUCAUCUUUUUCAUGAAUCCAACAAUCUUGACAAGUUCGUCGAACCACCAAGGUGAACAAGCAUAAUCUCUUGCAAAUAUAAUAAUUGACAGCCCUGACUCUUUGAUGUCCCUUAGGAGACUCGAUUCAAUUACCCUCAGAUACUCUAGUUCUCUGUCUUCUUGUAUAAUGCCUCUCUGGACUAGAGCUGGAUACAAAUGGGUAAAAUUAUUGCUAGUGUGCUCACCUCUGAAGCUAAAGAAGACAUCAUGCAUCCAUUGAUAGUAAGAUGAAGAAUUAGCCAAAGCAUCAAUAUAUGAAGAAGCUGCUUCUUUGCUUGCAACAAUAAGAUGGCCAAUAGGUGAUUCCCAUGAUGGAGUAUACGGAGAAUUUACCAAACGGAUACCACAAUUCUUCACCUUUACUCCUCGCUCGUAAGAGUGAAACGAUAACUCGAGUUCACUAUAGGCUUCAUUCUCCCGUUCUUUAAGCUCUUUCAGAUAAUCAAAAGAUAAAUAGAAUAGCCACAGGUGAUCUGACAGAGCUUGCAUAGAGUUACAGCCUAUAUACAUGGGCGAAGGAUAAUUCUCUUUUCCAUCAACUUUGAAAUGACAAAAGAGAGGGCUUUUACCAUAUGCACUGAAUGCAACACAUGUAGCAAACCCCAUCCAUCCAUUAGCAUCACCAUCCAGAUAAUAAGAAGGCACCUGCACCCUAAUUGAAGAUUCCUUACUUUGAUAAGUAAACCAACCUGGGAUUUCAUUUCCAGGAACAACAAUACCAAAUCCAGGUCUUGGAGAUGAGCCCUGUAACAUAAAACAAAAAUGUUACACAGAGAGAGAGAAAGAGAGAGAGAGAUUGGGUAUGGUGAAGAGAAGACCUGGAGGUAUUUUUCAAGCAUGUUCAGACCCAUGUUGUUUUGGCCCUUAUGCUUGUACAAUUCCCAACAGUUAAGACAUUUGAACUCUGAUCUUGUCAGACUGCUUAGCUUUAUUGGAUCCGGAAUUUCUUUUAGUCUUAAACAGCCAUCCAAUUUUACUUUUUGAACUUUCAAGGGAACCUCAGGUAAUGAUUCAAGCAUCACGCAAUCCUUCAAGGCAAGCUUUUCAAGCCUAGAAAGCUGAUUUAUGCUUUUAGGCAAGCUAACAAAGUUAUUUCUGCUCAGAUUUAGAAUCCUCAAUGAUGAUAAGCAGCCAAUAUCUUCAGGAACUGCUCCUUCUCUUAGAUUGCAAGCACGUAAAUCCAAUUCUUCUAAAGAACACAAACCAGACAAAGAAGGCAAUACUUGAUCCGCGAGAUUCAUAGUUAUUCUUUUGCAUCCAUUAAAAGACAAUACUCUAAGAUUCUUUAAAAGAAAAAUAGAUGCUGGAGGUUGUCUAAUUGAAGUUCCACUUGCAUCAAACUCCUCCAAACUUUCUACUUCCCCUAAAUUCUCUGGUAUGUUCUUAAGUUCAGAGCAACCAGACACAUCAAGUAUUUUGAGGGAUUUCAAACCACUUAUGCUACUGGGAAUACUUUCAAGGUUCCUACAAUUGUUCAUGCUCAAUAGAACUAAACCAGCCAAACAAUAAAAUGAUGAGGAUAGUUCCGCAAUAGCAGUCCCAUCUAAACGAAGCUCCCUCAAGCAGUUCAUGUUUCCUACGAUAUUAGGAAACUUAUCAAGUUUCGAGCAGCCACUAAAAGUGCAAACUUCUAAUGAUUCCAUUUCAAGGUAGCUUGGGAGAAUCCUAAGACUAUAGCAGUUCACAAGAUUCACAAAUUGAAGCUUCUUAUGACGUCCAAAUGAUGGAUGGACCUCAGAUAAACUUGAACAACCUUCAAGAAUCAGACUCUCGAGAUUUGGAAUUCUAGAAAAAUCUGGAGUAUUGGUCAUGUACAGUGAGUUGCUGAGAUUGAUGGUUUUCAGAUUAACAGAAAUCUGCAAUCAAGAUUGGAGAGAGAGAAUAAACAUUAAAUGGUGGUACUAUGCAUUCACUAUGAUUUAGUUUUAAAUAAUAAUAUUUGACAAAAUAAGAUAAUUUAUUUUGAAUAUUAUUAUGUGAUGUUUUGUUCUCUCUAGUGCAAAAAAAAAAAAACUAUAAAAAAAAAACAAGAUAGAAAAAGAAAUGAAAAUAAAAUUGUGUUUGGUAAAAUUAUGUUUGAUAAUAAUUUACAAGACAUAAUAAUUAAAUGGUGGUAUUAUGCAUUUAUUAUGUUUUAGUUUUAAACAAUAUUUGACAAAAUAUAAUAAUUUAGUACUUUGAAAAUAAAUAUUUUUAAGUAGCGUUUAGUUACUGUACUAAUAUAGAAGAAACAUAGACAAUAAAAACAAAGAAAACAAAUAAAAAAAUCAGACAAAAAAAAAUUAUAUUUGAUAAUAUUAUACAAGACAAAAUAAUUAUUUACAUAUCAUAUUUGAUUAUGGUACACAAGAUAUAAAAAAAUUAUUUUACCCUUAAUAUGUAUUAUUAUCAAACUUAAAUGUUUAAAAACUAAAUAGAUGUUUUUUUUUUACUUUAAUUUAUAUUGAAAGUUAAAAUUAAAAAUAUUAUAAUAAUUACAAUUAUAAAACCCGAUCUGACUUAGUAGGUUGACCUGAUCCUAAUGGGCUUAAAUUGGGUCGGAUUUUUUUUUUUAAAAAAAAGAGUUUGAUCAGACUGGACCUAACCUAGUAAAAAACCGGAUCAAAUGUGGAUAAAAAACCUAUUGAUUUUUUUUUUUUGUUAAAAUGAGGUUGCUUUGUAUCUAUUUAUAUAUAUAUAUAUAUAUAUAUAUAUAUAAUUGGAUCAACUUGGGUUGACACUCCCAACCCGUGCCUCAAGAAGUACCGCAAAAAUAACCCUUGACUGAAGGCCUUUUUUUUUACUAUAAGGGUACUUAAAUAAAUUUACUAUACACGCAAGAGUGAAAAACCAAAAUUGCCCCUAAACCCAUGCAUAUGUAUAUUUUGCUUUCUAGAGCAUUUUAGUAGUUUUACUAUUUACAAAAAAUCUAGAAAAACUAUCUUACCCUCACCAUCAAGCCUAAAUGUUAUUUGAUUGAGGGGUAAAAUAAUAAAUUUUAUUGUAGUCCAUGAUUAAAUGAGUUUGGUGCUAUAGUAGACGUAGUAUUCUCACCACUUUCAUUUCCACUCUAUUUUGCUAUAUAAAAAAAGGAAAUCUCAAAACUUUUGCCGUCCAUUAUCAUUUAUACCUGAAUACUGUAACAAGUAUUUAAUAGUUACAAUAUUCAAUUGACAAGCAUGCAACCAUUAAUAGGUAAUCUCAAGUUUUGAUGUUUCUUUGUUUUAUUUCUCCUUGUUGUAACCUGAAUUGAAGUGUAAAAUUAAUCAAUAAAUUUUUUAUAAAUAAACUAAAAAAACAAAUAGAAAUUAAAAGGAUAAGAAUCAAAUUGAAAAUAAUAAUAUAUGAGAAAUUAAAAUUAAAUGACUAAAUUUAAAAAUAAAACUUUUACAAAAAUACCAAGGUCAAAAAUAAGAAAUUAAACACAAAAAAUAGAAGUAGAAAUAUCAAACAUACAGACGACCAAUAUGUAAUUUAUGGGCGGGAGGAAGAAAAAAGAAAGAAACGUUCAUGUACAAUAAAUUGUUUAAUCGCCACUGACAUACACUGCAACAUGAGAAAGAGAACACGAUAAUGCAUCGAACGAUACAAUAAAAAUGCAGUUUUUACAACAUAAAGGUGUUGCACACGUCGUUUAAAGUGUGAAAGCAUCUUAUAGGUGCUGACAUAUACGACUUAUAUACCAACAGCUUUUUAUAUUUUAAUAUUAUAUAUUUUUUUGUUAAAAAACCAUAAUACCCUUAAAAAAACAGUAAAUGAAAAAAAAAACCAAUUUGAAAACAAUGAAAAUAACCCUUGAUUGAAAAACCAAAAUUAAUUACCCCUAAACAAUGCAUUCAUAUUUUGCUUUCCAGAGCAUUUUAGUUGUUUUAAUAUUCAUUAAAAAAAAAAAACCAUCUUAACCUCCCCAUCAAGCCUAAAUGCUAUUUCUUGAAGGGGCAAAAUAUUAAAUUCAUUGUUGUAACCAGUGAUUAAAUGAGUUUGGUACUAGAGGAUAGUAGUAUUCUGACCCCUUUCCUUUCUAGUCUAUUUUGUAAAAAAAUAAAAGAGGGAAAUCUCGAAAAUUUUGCGAUAUUCAAUUGACAAGCAAGCAAUGAUAAUCUCAAGUUUCGAUGUUUUUUUUCUCCUUGUUGUAAUUUAAAUCUCAUGUUAGACUGACUCUUUAUUAUAAUUUUUAUUUCUUUCUUUUCCAACAUAAUAACCCAUUGGAUUACCUAUUUAUUUUUACUUUGUUACUCUAACAAAAUUAAUUUUUCUAGUGAUUUUGGAUAGUUUUGAUAUGUUUAUAUUAAAAAUAAAUAUAAUUGCUCAUGUUUCACCAUUCCCUUUGAUGCCCUCUGUGGUUUAUUAUGGCUUAUGAAAAGAUAGAAAUAAAUACAGAGCUAGGGGGUCUUACCUUACAUCCGCACCAUAAUUGCUCAAUACUGCUGCAAGACAUGUAGAGUUCAACAAGCUCAUCCGGACGGAAACUAGCUGGCAAUGACUUUGAAGGGUAAGCAUGCCAUUCAAGGAAUCGUAACUCGUUUGAGAGAUACUCAGGUCCUUCAGAAAGAUCCACGUUGUGAAUUUUGAGCAAUCUUAGUUUUGUCAUUUUUGAGAAGGCUGUCAUGUUCCAUGGUGCCUCUUUUGCUUUGGGCAAGUCCAAGAAUAUACUUUCUAUUUUUCCCUGUCGACCAAGAAGAAUGAUAGGUAAGAAGAAUGACAGAGUAGAGAUGGAUAAUGAAUGUUUUGUAUAUAUCAGCUAUUACUCACUGUGCUGUCCUUGAGUGCGUCGCAGACAUCCUUGUACGUGCACAAUCUACUGCGUCUUCCAGGCUCUUCAGGGGAUUCAACGAACAAUUUCUUCACCCAUUUUCUGUAAUAAAUUAUGCAUCCUUAUCUCAUCUCGUGAGACGCUUAUAAGGGAUUUCUCAAUAAGAGCCUCCAUCCCAAUAUCUGCGUGGAACCCACAACUGUCAAGUAGCCUUGCUAUACGAUCCUUUUUCAUCCCCUUCAAGAAGCAGGCGAUAUCUAAAAAUAUUUUCUUCUCUAAUUCAUGGAGGCCAUCAAAACUAAUGCGAAGAACAUCAAUAAUCUUCCUGUCAGGAAUGUCAUUCAUUCUAUCAAUUGCACUUUUCCAUUCACGCAGACCACUUUUAUGCAAGAACGAACCUAUGACUUCAAGAGCUAGUGGAAGGCCAUUAGCAUAACCCACAACUUGCUUGGACAGUUCCGAUAAAUCUUCGGCAGGCUGGUCUCUUUUGAAAGCUUUCCAGCUAAAUAAGAUAAGAGCAUCUUUAUCAUUUAAUUUCUCAGCCUCGUAUAUUCUAGUAACACCAUGGCUAUCCAGCACAUGUUUAUUUCUGCUCGUUAUGAUAAUCCGGCUCCCUGGACCAAACGAUCCAUGCUCUGCAGCCAACAUCUGUAAUUGUUCUUCAUCAUCUACAUCAUCGAGAAUAAGAAGAACCUUCUUAAGCCGCAGCCUGCGCUUUAUCAAAUCAAUCCUUCUUGAAGAAUCCCGUGCGGUGGGAAGCUCCAUUGAGAUUUCUGAAAGAAGUUGUUCCUGUAAACGACACAGUCCAUCUUUCUCUGCAAAAACUUCUCUCACAUUUGCUAAGAAGCAGCUGCCUUGGAAUUGCCAACGAAUCCUAUCAUACAUGACUCUUGCAACAGUUGUCUUUCCCAUGCCACCCAUUCCACAUAUCCCUAUAAAGAGAAUAUCAUUUGCUUGCUCGUCUAUAUAUUCAUUCAAUACCUUCAGACGAGAAUCUAUUCCAACUAGAUUUUUGCUAAUUGUUGGCAAAGUGAAGCUUAGUUUGUACUGCAUAUAUUCAGCAAUCUUUAUAAUUGAUUGUGGCCCGUCCCUGCGUAAAAGGGGCAAAAACAUUAAGCAUGCAGUGUGCGAAAACAUGAAAUAUUGUUACUUGAAAUAUAUGCGUGGUUGUUAACGAGAAAUUAAUCAAUCAACCUUCGAUAAUACCUCAAGAAGGAGGAGGAAAAGGAAAGAAUAAUUUAAAAAGGAACUAGGAUUCUGUGGAUGCACAGAAUGAUCGAUCCUUGUAAUAGCGCAAGCUUAUUGCACAUAGAAUAGCAUGCAUGUAAGAACACAAAAGCUUAUUGCAAGUUUUUUUUCGAAAAGAUUAUUCGACAUAACAUUUCUUUUGUGUAUUGUCAUUUGUCAAGCUCGCCAUGAAAACUCAAUCACUUGCCUCCUUUUAGUCACCUCCUUUUCCAUAUUAUAUUUUGCCACUUGUUAAAUUGAUGAUGAAAACUCAACGACGAAAUGAAUAUAUAGCUCUUCAAUAUUUCUUCAGUCAUGCAGUUACUCUCCAUCAAUUUCAUAAUUAAUUAGGAAAAAAAAUCCAUUGCGCAUAAAACUUUGGGUUGUCUUUAAGGUGAUUUGUCUUUAAUAAAAUAAAUCUACAAACACUUUAGCAUCUUGUAUUCUUGUUUUUUCUGUUGUUUGAAUAUGCUAAUAAAUAUUUAAUAAUAUAAUGCAUUGAUUUAUAAUCAAAGGUCGAACAUAUGAAAAAAAUUAACUUACAAGAAUAACGAUUUGCGAGACAGUAAUAACUCCUUCCAAAAUAUAUAUAAACAGGCUUAGUUUACCUGUUCCGUACAUCCCAGCCAGAUAGAUUGGCCACGGUGGAGAGACAAUCACUCCAGCAUUUUACCUUGUCCAGAUUUCCCGAGAGCUUUUCUUUAUGCUCAAUGGACGCCUUCAUAUAAUUUCCUUUCUGAUCGGCUACCUCUGUUGGAUCCACAUCAUAAAAAACUGGUAGAACAGUGUGCCCCAUCUCUUUCAUGCACUGAACAAUCUUGACGAGCUCAUCUAAGCACCAUGGUGAAGACGCAUAAUCUCUUGAAAACACAACGAUUGAAAAUCUUGAAUCUUCGAUGGCCUGCCAGAGAGCGGGUUCGAUGGUCUUUCCUCUCUCUAGCUCCCUAUCAUCCAUGUAUACAUCGAUGCCUCUUUGUACCAAAUUAGAAUAUAGAUGGCUAGUAAAGUUAUUCCGUGUGUCUUUGCCUCUAAAACUAAGGAAGACAUCAUACAUCCAUUGGGGAGGAGAAAAAGAAGAUGAGGUUGCUUUCUGUAUGCUGGAUGAAGCCAUGGGAAUCCCAGUAGCAAUAAUUUAAUACUGAUUGAUUCCUUCUAGUCUUAGCUCUUAAC